GAAAAAAUAAUAAUUUCACCAACUUCAUAUGUAAUACAAUCUCCAAAACACCGAAUAUCAAAUGAAAAAAUGGAAAGCAUAAGAGAUAAAAGAAUCUAAUUUUAUUGACCUUUUGACGACGAAGAGAGAUCCUUCAACAUCCUUACGACUCCAUUGGCUGAGGUCGAUGUUGAACUCGUAGAAGGUGACAUGAGCGGCCGUGAUGAGGAUCUCCUCAAUGAAUGGAUCGAUUCGCUGAAGAACUGUCAGGUUUAGGAGUUUUGUGCUCUGCUGGUCCAGAUUAGGCAUCAAUUUUCCGUUCUGCGACAUUUUUCAUAGUCCUUUGGGCUCUGCCCCGAGCACAAGCCCCAUGGUUUUUCUGUGAGCUCUCUCUUUUGUAAAUAAAGUGUUUGAUGAGAUAGCCGAGAGAGAGUGAAAGAGUUGAACAGCCAAACAAGGUGAGGUGAACAGUUUCGGACUGAGACUCGAGAUUGGUCUUGCUUUAACUCUUUUAAACAUUUGGAAAUAGCAUUUAUUUCUUUCAAUUUCUCUACUGUUUUUUUCCUUUAUGUCAUUUAGACCCCAAAAUAGAUUUAUUANNNNNNNNNNNNNNNNNNNNNNNNNNNNNNNNNNNNNNNNNNNNNNNNNNNNNNNNNNNNNNNNNNNNNNNNNNNNNNNNNNNNNNNNNNNNNNNNNNNNNNNNNNNNNNNNNNNNNNNNNNNNNNNNNNNNNNNNNNNNNNNNNNNNNNNNNNNNNNNNNNNNNNNNNNNNNAUUUUAACAGCCUUUUAUACUAAACCCUAAAAAUACAUGAAUUUAUCAAAAUAAGUAAAUUAAUUUAAAUUGGUAUGGCAUAAUAGAAGUUUUACCUGCCGAAACAAAUUAAAAAAAUAUUACACUUAAAUCAAAUAUUGACAAAAAUAGAUAACAAUCUAAUGAGAAUCUUAACUAGACAUUUUUACUUCUAUCCAAUUUAACUGGAACGAGAAUUAAGUCCUUUCAAUAGUUAAGACUCAUAACUCAUACAUGCUAGUUUGAGAGUGUGGGGUGUGACAAUGGGUCAAAAGACCAUUGACAAGUACAAAAGAGUGAUUGCAAUUAAUUCAAACCGCUACACACGCUAUAUUGAGGGCCCAUUUUUGUUUAUUUCGUUGAAAAGUAGUUUUCACAAUUAAUUCAAACCGCUACACACGCUAUUGCGUCUUUUAAAAAAAGAAAAAUGGAGUAGUUUUCCAAAAUUUAAUUCAGAGAAGAAGAUUUACUAAUAAUGAUUAGAAAUCUUAAUAUUUGAAUCUUAAUAUUAUGUAUCACUCAUUUAUUAAAUAAUAGAUUUCAUAGUUUGUAAAUUUACUUAACCACUUGAUAAAUGUUAUAUUUGUUGGGACUAAAUUGGGACUUAAUGUUGGAAUAUCUAGUAUUGCAUAAAAAAAAAAUAAAAACUUAACAAUUUAUCUUCGCAUGACUAAUUGUUUUUACAUCACAACUAACCUUAGUUAUUUUUUAAAGUUAUAGUAUUAUUAAAUUGCCCUAACUGGUUAUCAAAAGAUGAAAGCAUGUUAAAAUAAGAAAUUACUAAGAAACAUGUGCUUAAACAGAGGUUAAGGCUACGAAAAUUAAGAAGAAACAACUUACAAUCAAAGGUUAAGAUUAUGAACAAAUUAAGGAAGGUAUUGAGCAGAUAAAGGGACGGAAUCAUUGUCUGAAUUGCCGGUGACAAGAAUGCUUGUGUUGUGAAAAGAAAUUUGAUGGUUUGUAAAUGGGUUGAAUUUUUUAUUCGCUCGCUCCAACUGACUUACUAAUGCCAAAAUUUAUUACUUUGCACAGUAGUGUUUAGGAUCCUCAAGAUCAACUCUUAAUUUGGUCCCAAUUAGUGCAGAAAUCAUCUAUUGAGCAAUAGAAUAAGAAUUUUUUCUAGUCAUGAAAUUCAAUAUAUAAUAUAUCCUUGACACACAUCGAUUAUAACUUAACUGUUAGAAUUCAUAACAUUACUCUCUCUCAAGGGGAGUUCUCUUAACAUAUUAUGUUAGGUUGCCUACAUUCAAAAUAUGUUAGACUGCUCUUUGAAAGCAAUAUUCCCUUUUCCGUAACUUUGAAUUGAUCCAAUAGCUCUUGAAAAGCACAUAAUAAUCAUUAUAAAUUUAAUCAAAGACUAAGCAGGUCUUCUUUGCAUUUGAUCACUGGCAUUUCAGUUAAGUAUGUCAUUUACUUAAAUUUUUCUUGCUUUCAAUUUUCACUGUUGUUUUUUUUUAAUAAAAUAAUUUGUUUAACUAGUCACAGAAAUAAGAGAGAAAAUGGGCCAUUUCUUGACUCAAAGUCAAUUAUAAUUAUCAAAACUUGAGCGGACAUUGCAUGCCUAAAUUCCACACACCCUAAAACGGUUUGAUUGCUUUCACGCGUUCAUGAUUUUCCAUGAAAGAGAGUGCCUCUCGUCUCUUUCCGGACAGUGACGACAAUUAUGUUAACGUGACAAAUACAUAACGUUAUUACAUACAAGAAUAAGUUUUUGGAGCCGAGACUUGAGGGAGGUUCUAUCUAAUUCUAAAGAUUGUAAACCAAAUCAUUAUCCCCAAUUUUUUCAGUUAAAUAAAAUAAAAUUUAUGCUUAAGUAUAAAUAAACAUCCAUAGUGGAUAAAUAUUUGAUUAUCGAUUUUUUUAAUGUAAAAUUGCUGGGUUUGUUGCUUUAAAAUUUUCAAUAAUAAUUUCACUUAUUUAGUAAUUAGAGAGAGAGAGAGGAUUGAGGGCCAAUGUUUCGCGAUUUGGGGGUCAAUUCAAAGUUCAACUAAGGUGUAAAACAUGAUUUCCCUUUCAUGAACUUCGAAGAAAGAAAGAAGACUCUUCACCUUCUUCAUGACAACGAAUGAUGUUGAUAUGACAAAUACAAUCGCUAUUACAGGGAACAGCAUAAGACCGAAAUUUGAUAAAGGGUUUGUUAAAUUAACAUGUUAUUUUUCUUGUUAACUAUGAAUUGGAAGAAAAAAUAAAAAUAAAAUAAAAUUGUAAUCAGUGUGAUGUGUGGAAUAUAUUGAAAUAAAUAAAAUAGAGAAGAGAAAUUCGUUGAUCAAUAUUCAAGAACUCAUCCAAAGUGACUGUUAAAGUCUAGAGGUUCCGUAUGAUUAGCAUUUAUUUUUUUAAUUUUUUGCUUAACAUCAUAUGUAGUCACUGGUCGUGUGAUCUAGGACAGGUUUAGAAAUCUUUUUUUUUUUAACUUCCGUAUUCUUAUUAUUUAAUUAGUUAUAGGUUUUUUAGUAUUUGAGUAGUGAUCACAGGUCUCCUAAUCUAAAAAUAAUGUUUUACGAGUACAAAUAAAAACUAGGAUUUUAACAGCCUUUAUACUGAACCCUAAAAAAUACAUGAAUUUAUCAAAAAUAAAUAAAUUUGAAUUGGUAUGCCAUAAUAAAAAUUUUACUUGCCAAAACAAAUUAAAAAAAAUAUGACGCUUAAAUCAAAUAUCGACAAAAAUAGAUAAAAAUCCAACAAGAAUCUAAAAAUAAGAAAGAUAUCUUCAAAAUAGAAGCGUCCAAGAGAAAUUUGGCGAAGAUUUGCUAAUCCACAUUGAAAAUGUCACUUUUCCUUGAGAACUUCAUAAUGAUAUAUUAUGAGCCUAAGACAAAUACCAAUUACUCAAGUAUGGCCCUAUGAAGACAUCCUAUUCAUUCUCCCUAGACCAGGACGUGUCGCACAUGUUUGCAUUCAAAUUUAGGUGAAAAUCUACUCUCAUCAAGGGAUAUAUAGGUACCUGUGAAGUCUCAAACCCGAGAUAAUGUGAAAGCAAAUCGGGAGUUUGAUUAAAAUUCAGCCAAUAUUAGUGUGUACGGAUGGUAGGGAUGGAAAAAAACUCGACCGUCUUAGGUAUGGUAUUACCCAGAUCUGGCCUAAGCAUGUUUUUUUUGAAACACUCAGAAUUUUUUAAUCAAAACUUAAAAAACCUAGAAUUUAUAUUUUAUAAUAUUAUAUAUAUUUAUUUUAUUUUAUAAUUUUAAUAUUUUCAAAUUUUAUUUUAAUGAAUUGGAAUUAAAAAUAUGAGUUUUAAAUGUUUAAAAUUUUAAAAAUAGAUAAUAAGUGGACCAAAUGAACAAAAUAAUAGAUAUUUUAUAAUAUUCUUCAUAAAAAUCAAGUUUUGAGCUAGCCCAUAAGCUUGUCUAGUGAAGUCUGGGUACCCGCGUUGCCCAAGGUUCCGUCAGAAUCCAGGCUGUGCAGAUAUUUAUGGACGAGAGGAAAUAUUUUCAAGUUGACUGAAUUAAAUAAAAAUAUAUUACAAUCAUAUUAUAUAUUAACAGUAAAAAUAAAAAGAAAUGAAAGAAAAACGCAUGCAAGACUUAGACAAAGUCAAUUAAAAGCUGGGAGUAUCAUCAGUUCAAUUGGUUUUAAAUAGCGUAGAGCCAUCCUCUCGUUGUGUUGCAGAAGAGAGACAGAAGAGUGUGUGUAGGCGAUUAUAAUUAAGCAGAUAUAAAUUGUGGGUUCAAAAAGAGUGUGGGUGAGUGAGUUAAUUUUCAUAUUAUUAGUAGUAAAAGGGUGGUGGAGUGAGGGAUGUUUGGAGCAAGAGAGGUCUGCUCUCCUCCAACUCAGACAUUUCUUCAAUGAUGAUCACCGUCUUCAAAACUGGGUAGACGAUGAGUAUUAUUCAGAUUGUUGUCAGUGGGAACGGGUUGAGUGCAACGACACCACUGGCAGAGUGAUUGAAUUAGAUCUAGCAGUAACUCGGAAUUGGGAAUCAGCAGAGUGGUAUAUGAAUGCUCUCUGUUUAUCCUUUUGAACAAUUAGAGUCUCUUGAUCUAAUAGGGAACAAUAUAGCCGGUUGUGUUGAAAAUGAAGGUCCGUAAUUUACUCUAUUUUAAUUCUUCCUCAUAAUUUUUUUCCAUUUAUCUGAUCCCUUUUGGUUUUUAUUUAAUUUGUAGUGAUACAAUAAAAUUACUUUUUAUUUUUUGGCAGGUCUAGAUAGGUUAUCAAGGUUGAACAACUUGAAGUUUCUUUAUUUAGACCUUAACCACUUCAACAACAGCAUCUUUUCAUCUCUAGGUGGUCUUUCAUCACUCAGAAAACUUAUCAUUGGCUGCUAAUCGAUUGAAUGGAAGUGUUGAUAUUAAAGGUAAGUAAGCUUCAUCCUUCUCCCCUGUCCCAUCUUUUGUGGAUCUUAUUUCACUGAGCAGCUGGAAGUAUUGAUACGAGAUCUAGCUAGACUCUUGCGAGUUUAGGCUUCACGGCUUUGAAUAGUAAUAAAAUAAGUUGAAUAAAUUAUCAAUAUAUGCAAUUUUCAAUGCUUCUCAAUAAUCAGACACAAUUCAAUCUAAUUAUUUCGUAUGUCCUGUCUUCAAAAGUAAAGAAUUGUACACUAAUUGGAAAUCGACAUCGUAGCUUUUUAUUUUCUAUAAUGCUAUUUCUUCGUUAACAAGUUUAUAUCCUAAGAGGGAUUGGAUUGAAAAAAAAAAAAGAAGUUUUGAUGUUCAAUGUCAGCCAUGAUAACCUGCAUCUUAUUUGUCUGCCGACAUCCAAAUUUGUGCACUGAAUUUAGUAUUUUGGUUAUUGUGAAGGGAUCAGAUAUUGGCUUCCAUAGACCAAACUUGUAUUUACUUAAUUAAUUAAUUAACGACAUUUAGUAUUAACAAUUAAAAUUUCAUGUUUAAUUCUAUUUAAUUUUUUUAAGAAAAAAGAAAAUAGAUAUAGCAGCAGGUAAAGCUGAAAUAAAUUUUAAUUCCUUACAAAUUUAAAUUCAUGGUUGUCAGCUAAAUAUACCUGCUUAAAGCCACUCUUUCGCUGAGAUUUAACCAAAAAAAAAAGAGAAAAUAAUUUAUUUAAUUAAACUCUGUUUUAAGUGUUGGAAUAAAUACAGGACUGGAAUCCUUGAGUAACUUGGAGAUGCUGGACAUGAGGGACAAUGCAAUCGACAAUCUAGUGGUUCCUAAAGGUAUACAAAAUGACACUAACCCAAAAUAAUUUAAUCCGAAAUUGUAUCCCAAAUAGAUUACAGAGGUUUGAGGAAGUUGGAUACCCUUUAUUUGGGGGGGAAGGGAAAUUGCAGUGAUAUAUGGAAGCAAGGUGUUGCAAUCAAUAAAGAAAUUCGUUGGUCAAUAUUCAAGGACUCAUCCAAAGUAAUCGUUAAAGUCUAGAGGUCUGCUCUCCACCAACUCAAACAUUUCUUCAAUAUGAUCAACGUCUUCAAAACUAGGUAGACGCGGGAGAUGAUGAGAAAUAAUUUAGAUUGUUGUCAGUGGGAAGGGAUUGAGUGCAACAAAACCACAGGCAGAGUGAUUAAAUUAGAUCUAGCACAAACUCGAAAAUGGGAAUCAGCGAAGUGGUAUAUGAAUGCCUCUCUGUUUACUCCCUUUCAACAAUUAGAGUCUCUUGAUCUAAUUGGGAACAAUAUAGCUGAUUGUGUUAAAAACGACGGUCAUUAAUUUACUCUAUUUUAAUUCUUCCUCCUCGUAAUUUCUUACAUCUAUCUGAUCCCUUUCGGCUUUUGUUUAAUUUGUACGUGAUACAAUAAAAUUAUUUUUUUUCAGGUCUGGAGAGGUUAUCAAGGUUGAACAACUUGAAGUUUCUUGAUUUAGGCUUUAACCACUUCAACAACAGCAUCUUUUCAUCUCUAGGUGGUCUUUCAUCACUCAGACACUUAUCAUUGGCUGAUAAUAGAUUGAAUGGAAGUAUUGAUGUUAAAGAUAAGCAAGCUUCAUCCUUCUCUCGUGUCCCAUCUUUGUGGAUCUUAUUUCAUCGACCAGCUGGAAGUAUUGAUACGAGAUCUAGCUAGACUCUUGCUAGUUUAAGCUUCAAGGCUUUGAAUAUUAUAAAAAUAAGUUUAAGGAAUUAUCAAUAUAUGCAAUUUUCUAUGCUUCUCAUAAUCAGACACAAUUCAAUCUAAUUAUUUCGUAUGUCAUGUCUUCAAAAGUAAAGAAUUGUACACUAAACGGAAAUCGACAUUGUAGCUUUUUAAUUUUUCUAAUGCUCUUUCUUUGUUAACGAGUUUAUAUCCUGAGAGUGGAUUGGAUUAAAAAAAAAAAAAAAAGUUUUGAUGUUCAAGGUAAGCCAUAAUAACAUGCAUCUUAUUUAUCUGCCUAUAUCUAAAUUUGUGCACUGAAUUUAGUAUUUUGGUUAGUGUAAAGGGAUCAGAUAUUGGCUUCCAUAAACCAACUUGUAUUUACUUAAUUAAUUAAUUAACAACCAUUUAGUAUUUAACAAAUUAAAAUUUCGUGUUUAAUUUGUCUUAUUUUUUAUUUUUUGAAGCAAGAAUAAGGUAUAGCAGUAGGUAAAGUUGAAAUACAUAUUUAUUCCUUACAAAUUUAAAUUCGUUUUCAGCCAAAUAUACCUACUUAAAACCACUCAAUCAGGCCAUUGGCAACAGUUUUUUUAGGUUUUUCUAGUUAACCGUGUACUUUUUUGCUUAUUAAUAAAAUUCUUUUGUGCUGAGAUUUAAAAUAAAGAAGGAGAAAAUAAGUUAUUUAAUUAACCCUGUUUUUAAGUGUUGGCAUAAAUACAGGACUGGAUUCCUUGAGUAACUUGGAGGAGCUGGACAUGACAGGCAAUGCAAUCGAUAAUCUUGUGGUUCCUAAAGGUAUACAAAAUGUUCAAAUAUUAAUAAUUUGGAGGACAGUUUAAUUGAUUUGAUUAGGGAAUGCCCAAUGACACUUACCCAAAAUAAUUUAAUCUGAAAUUGUAUCCAAAAACAGAUUUCAGAGGUUUGAGGAAGUUGAAUACCCUUCGUAUAGGGGGAACCAGAAUUCAAAUGAUAGAUGGAAGCAAGGUGUUGCAAUCAAUAGGAUCACUACCGUCCCUCAAAACACUUGACCUUUGGUAUACUAAUUUUACGGGAACAGUAGUUAAUCAAGGUAAGUAAAUCUUUUAUGUCGAAAAUAAUUGAAUUAAUAUAUAUAGCUAAAAUUUAUUGUUUCUACUUCUUUCUAAAUAGAAUUGCACAAUUUCACCAACUUGGAAGAAUUGAUAUUGCUCGAGUCUGAUCUCCAUGUAAGCCAGCUUCUACAAAGCAUCGCAUCAUUCACUUCGUUAAAGUAUUUGUCAAUGGGAGGUUGUACUUAAUGAAGCAAUUAUGGGUAUCCAAAAGAUUUUUUCUUAAUUCGAUAAUAAAUUAUGGGUAUCUGAAGCUUUUAUGAUAUUAAUUCGAUAAUAAUUCUUUCUUUUCAAGUUAAUUUUUUCCCCUAAAAUAAGAUUUUUUUUCUUUUAAAUUUCAUAUAUUUUCAUUGUCCAAUAGUUCUAGCUUCUCUUAAUUGCAGGAUUCUUGAUUAAGGUUAAUGAAAUUUUAGUUCUGUUAUGUUAAGAAUAUUUCGAUCGCUUAGAAGAGUAAAGAAAAAUAAGUAAAUUAACCAAAAAAAAAAGAGAAAAGGACCGGAUUAUCCUUAUUCCCUUGCAUUAUGUGAUCAAUAUCAAAAUUAUAACCAUUUCUUGUUUUAUUGCUUGUAGAUUUUCUUAAAUUCAAGAAUUUGGAACAUCUGGACAUGGGUGGGGCGCAAGUUGACGUCAACACCAGUUUUCUUCAAAUUGUCGGCGAAUCGAUGCCUUCUCUUAAGUUUUUAUCACUGACAGGUUCAAGUCUUAAUAAAAACGCCAUUCUUGAUCAAGGUUAGUUAAUGAUUCUCUUUCUCCCUCUCUCGCAUCUUAACUAAAUUUAAUUGAGAAUAUCUAUAAUGCUAGCUAUUUAUAAACUUAAUGAAAGAUGAUAAGGAGCUACUAUAAUGACAAAAACAACUGUAAAAUAGUGCGCUGUUGUAGUGUUAAUUGAAAAAUAAUGCUAAUUUUAUAGUCAUUUUGUUGCCAUUACGUCAGAUUCCAUUGUUCAAUUAUUUAAGUUUUAUGCAAAUAUAUUUUUCAGGACUUUGUCGGUUAGUGCAUCUACAAGAGUUAUACAUCGGCGGUAAUGAUUUGAGAGGUAGCUUGCCAUGGUGCUUGGCAAACAUGACAUCCCUCCAAGUGUUAGAUGCCUCUUUUAAUCAACUUACUGGAAACAUCUCCCCAGGCCUUUGUGAGUUGGUGCUUCUGAGAGAGUUAUACAUUGAUUACAAUUAUUUAAGAGGUAGCUUGCCUUUGUGCUUGGCAAAUUUGACUUCCCUUCGAGUAUUAGAUGUCUCUUACAAUCAACUUACUGAAAACAUCUCAUCUUCCCUCAUGCAUCUAAUAUCUAUGGAAAAGCUCAUACUUUCAAAUAAUCACUUCUUCCAAAUCCCUAUUUCACUUGAACCACUUUUCAAUCUCACAAAACUCAAGACUUUCGAUGGUGAAAUAUACGCAGAAACUGAGUCACAUUAUAAUUCUUUGACCCCAAAAAUUCCAAUUGACUUCUAUCUCAUUGUCUGGCUACGGAGAUGGUGGCACAUUUCCCAAAUUCUUGUACCAUCAGCAUGACUUGAAGAAUGCUGAUCUCUCACACCUUAACUUGAGUGGAAAUUUUCCAAAUUGGUUGGUAGAAAACAAUACGAACUUAGAGACGCUUCUUCUUGCCAAUAACUCUCUUUUUGGAUCAUUUCGGAUGCCAAUUCAUUCCCACCAGAAAUUAGCAACAUUGGAUGUCUCCAACAAUUUCUUUCAAGGCCAUAUCCCAGUAGAAAUCGGAACAUAUCUGCCAGGCUUAAUGCAUUUAAACUUAUCUAGAAAUGCUUUCAACGGUAGCAUUCCCUCUUCAUUUGCUGAUACGAAAAUGUUGAAAAGCUUGGACAUAUCCUACAAUCAGUUGACUGGUGAAAUCCCUGAGCGCAUGGCCAUGGGUUGCUUCUCAUUGGAAAUUCUUGCAUUGUCAAACAACAGUUUGCAAGGUCAUAUAUUCUCUAAAAAAUUUAACUUGACAAAUUUGAUGAUGUUGCAGUUGGAUGGUAAUAAAUUCAUUGGAGAGAUCCCAGAAAGCUUAUCUAAGUGCUAUUUGUUGGGAGGAUUGUAUCUGAGUGAUAAUCAUCUCUCUGGUGAGAUUCCAAGAUGGUUGGGUAAUUUGUCAGGUUUAGAAGAUAUUAUAAUGCCCAAUAACAAUCUUGAAGGACCAAUUCCAAUCGAGUUUUGUCAGCUUGAUUAUCUGAAGAUUUUAGACCUUUCAAACAAUAGUAUUUUUGGAACUUUACCAUCUUGUUUUAGUCCAGCAUCUAUCGAACAAGUUCAUUUGUCGAAAAACAAGAUAGAAGGACGGCUGGAGAGUAUAAUCCAUGACAGCCCUCAUUUGGUGACAUUCGAUCUUAGUUAUAACAGCUUACACGGAAGUAUUCCAAAUCGGAUUGACAGACUACCUCAGUUAAACUACCUUCUUUUAGCUCAUAAUUAUAUUAAAGGCGAAAUACCAGUUCAAUUAUGCCAGUUGAAGGAAGUGCGGUUGAUUGAUCUUUCUCAUAAUAAUCUAUCUGGUCAUAUUCCUCCUUGCUUGGUUAACACUUCACUCAGUGAAGGUCAUCAUGAGGCAGUAGCUCCAACUUCUAGUUCGUGUGGUCGAGCGUCUGGCUAUGCAAGUCCAUGUGCGAAAAAUACAAGUGGACUUCCGAUGGGAAAGGAAGAAACUGUACAGUUCACAACAAAGAAUAUGUCCUACUAUUAUCAAGGAAGAAUUUUGACGAGUAUGUCUGGGAUUGAUCUUUCUUGUAACAAACUGACAGGUGAGAUUCCUACUCAAAUUGGAUAUCUUACAAGGAUUCGUGCGCUAAAUCUAUCUCAUAACAAUUUGACGGGCACAAUCCCGACAACAUUUUCAAACCUGAAGCAAAUCGAAAGCUUGGACCUCUCCUACAACCUACUGCAUGGGAAAAUCCCUUCUCAGCUCACUGUGCUAAAUACAUUGGCGGUCUUCACAGUAGCAUACAAUAACUUAUCAGGAAAAAUUCCAGAUAGAGUUGCACAAUUUUCAACUUUUGAGGAAGAUAGCUAUGAGGGGAAUCCUUUUCUUUGUGGAUGGCCACUGUCUAAAAGUUGCAAUGAUAGUGGAUUAUCAGCAGUGACACGAGAAGCUUACACUGAUAAUGAAGAAGGUGAUAGUUUAAUUGACAUGGACAGUUUCCUAAUCACUUUUACAGUAUCUUAUGGAAUUGUGAUAUUAGGAAUUAUUGGAGUUUUGUACAUAAACCCCUAUUGGCGACGAAGAUGGUUUUACCUUGUUGAAGUAUGUAUGAUCUCUUGCUACUAUUUUGUAGUAGAUAAUCUUAUUCCUAGAAGAUUCUAUGGUGGAUGGAUGUAAUUUCAUUUACUUUACAACUUAUAUGUAAUUUUUAAAGAAUUUUCUUUUGCAUGCAUGGAAUAGCAACUCAAUAAAAGUAUUUGAUGCAAAUUGUCCUAGAACAACUUAGUAAUUUCAUUGCUACUAUUUGGUUGUAUAUAUACAGUUAAUGAAAUUUUUAAUCAUUCGCAGUAGGAAUUUCUUUAGAUGGCGGCCAAAACUAACAGAUUUGGGGCUCUACUUCUACACAUCAUAACAGGCAAAAGGUCUCUCUUUUACACGAUCUGAAUGAAGAUUAACUUACGCCCUCUAGGCUCUGGAGUGUGUGUAAGUUCUCUAUUAAACUUGACGGUUGAGAUUUCAGGUCCAGAUGAAAGUGAAAUGCAGGCGACGAGACUACACUUUAAGUAAACUGGGACAAACUUAAAAUAAAAAAAAUUGUAGUCCAGGGUGAGAGUGAUGGGUAGCUCAACUUAUGGAGGAUAACUAGGACUUGGAAUAACUAUCAGAUUUGCAACUCUUGUUAUAUGCUAGUGGGGAUUUAGGUAGCAAUUUUUUUUUUUUUCCUUUUUGCCCUCUUCCUCACAAUAAAAACACGUAACACACCAAGCCGUGCCCAAAAUAAUCCUAUUUUAUUCAUGUCAUGAAUCCAAAAACUAUCCCAGCUCACUUUGUUUAACCAGCAUAACUAAAUUGUGGGUAUAAAUGAACACACUUUCGAAGCCUGUAACUUAUAAUAAGCUCAAACCCAAAAAUGACAUUUAAAUCCUGCAAGUGUUUUUCAUCAUCCCUAACAAAAAGAAACAAGAAUAAUUAUAUACCAAUAAUUUUUCCAUAAAAAAUACUGAUUUGAGUUGAAACACUAUACAAACUGGGUUUUAUACACUUCCAGAAAGCUACACGGUAGACAAAAUCUAGCAGCUACAUAUUGGUAUCACUUUCAGCUGGUCAUGAAUGGUGUGCAUUCAGCAGUGCUCGAUAGACCAUGUCUAUGAAUUGAUUGUCCUAUUACAUAUAAAAGCUGGUCAGAUAUACAAGGAAAAAAAUAAUAAUUGAAAAUGCAUCACAAAAAAUAAGUGUUUCGCAUUAGUGUUUGCACUCUAAGCAUGGCAAAGUGGUGCGGGGUUCAUGAUUUUGAAGACUGUGAUAAGUGAAAAAUAGUUCAAUCCACUGAUGAACAUAAAUUUAUUUACAUGUCAAUUUAGAUAUCAUCAAAAAGUAAACAGUAAUUCAGAGUCACUUAAAAUAGUUGAUAAAAUGCGUGCCAUGAAUGUAUUUUUGUACAUAAGAAAUCCAAAGAGUAUUUCUGACAAUACAAAUAUGCUAGCUUUAAGUCUGCUGUCAAUAUGCAAUUAAGAAGAUUAUACCAGCUGCAUGAUAAAGUUCCCCUAAUCUUAAUAACAGUAAACAUGAACAUGUCAGAUGCAAUUAUAGCUUUGAGCAUUUGCAUAACCAGAAAUCCUAACCUGAACAAGCACCAGAAGUGUCUCUCGGACUUUCUCCUUGCUGAUAAAUGGUCCGCUGUCUGAAGUAAGAGCAGGAGUAAGAGAUGGUGGAGGGGUUGGUGGUGGAAAAGGUUGAAGCACUGGGGCACCAUAUGGGCGUUGCAGACUCGGGGGAGGAUUAAGUGGCGGAGCUGUUGGUGUAGAUGAAGAGACAAGCUGCAUCAUCCGUGCAUAGGAGGAUGGAGGAGGAACAAAGAAUAAGGAAGGCUUUACAAGAUUAGGGGUAGGUGCUGAUAGAGGUGGAGAUGGUAUUUGCAAAGUUGGCACGAUAGGAGAAGCAACACUGGCGGGAUGAGAAGGUAAAGAAAUAGUUGUAUUGGACUGGUAAGGUUGUGCAGAGAUUGCUGCAUUAGAAUUAUUCCCCACAGUCAAAGCUGUCUGCAAUGAUAAGGACAGAUGUCAUAUAAAAGGACAUCAUAGAAGUUGAACCUCACACAAAAAUGAAGUGAUAACAUAUGAAAAUAGUAUAUGACUUGCUGCAUUUUUGUGGUAAUGUUGCAUACUUAUGUAGAAACAUAUUAUUUCAAAGAAAACAUACACUGAAGAAGUUCACAAAAGCAGGAUCUUCAGGAACAUCAACAGCAUUUGAGGGAGUUGACUCUAGAGGACCAUCCAUAACUGCCAUAGUUGGAACAGCUUCCAGUUCCUCAAACUCACUGCAGUUUAACAUAAAAGGAACUUGAUGACCAAUUUAAGUAAUAAUUAGAUGAUAUAAGAGGUUAGGGAAAAUGAUGAGUGGACCCUUAUGGAAGAUGAUUUCACCUUAGCUAAACACGAAAAUAAAAUGAAAUCAAAGCUGAAUCCUCGAGUGCAAUGCAAAUAAUUUUUUCUCUCUCUUCUCUAACUCCUCUUAUUCGAAAUUGCUCAUCAUUGUGCAGUUCCUCGAGAUUUUGCUAGAGUAGAGAAAGCUAUUCUCCCGUUAAGUGCAGAGGAAAAAGAAGGGCAAGGGCCUGGUAUGAUGCUAUUCUAUAGGAAGUGAGAAGGUGAAGGGCUAAAAUAUUUUGCAAUUUGGAGGUGGUGUUUGUUAGUGUGUGUACUUCUGAAUUUAUUACCUCUUUAGGAUCCAUAGAAAUUGCCUCUUGUUCAGCAUGCACUGUGCCUACGAGUAAGGCGAGCUUGCAUGGUAUCUAUUGUCUAUUUACUUGGAUAUUCAAACAGGACUACCAGCAACCAAACACAAAUCCCCAAACAAAACACUCUUUCAAGUGCAAGGAAAGAGUAACUUGGGCAUAUUUAUGGUUCAAGCACUACAAUAACUAAGAAUGUGAUGACUGUCCACAAACACUAUAUCAGUGCCUUUUGAACUACAUCACAUGCUUGAAGACUUUUUUUUUAGUCAUACAUAAAUUAGCUAUAAAAUCAAGACCCUUAUACAACUAAAAAGAAAGAAAAAUUGUUUGCUACUACAUAUCAAAACUGGUAAUAGCAAUGUAAGAUGGCAGACUUCUUACUUAAACAGAUGAGAGGCUACAAAUAAAAAAUUUGUGCAAAUAAAAUAUAUGAUAAAGAGCAUAAUACUUUCUUGGGGGCUAAAAAUAAUAUACAACUUGUGAAAUAUAAAUUGAGCUACCAUUACCUUUUAGAUGUGGCAACUUUCGACUUUUGAGGCACCUUGGAAUAUGCAUUCAGAAUCCUGCAUUUGGAAGCCAAAUAAAUAAUGUUAAUAACAAUUUUACAAUAGAAAAAUUAAAAAUUGAUAAAUGGCAGUUGUAAUUUAUGUAUGGUAAAGAUAGCAUCACAUCCAGGUUCCUCCCAUAAACAUGCUUGUAACAAGAAUUAGUUUGCCUCAACUGCUAGCAACUAUACAAUAGUAAAAAUCACUCUUAUGAACUCAACAAUACUAGGCACCAAUAAGAGUAUGACACAGCCAUUCUAAAUGGAAGAGAAUACAACUGUUUUACAACUAUGUUGCAUCAGGAGAUAUGUUAGGAGGAUUAAUCCAGAUACCUUCCAACCCAAAUUAGGAAAACUCGAGUCAGAAACCAGGAGCUGCAACCAAACCUUACAAUCUUGAAGGAAGAAGGAGACUUGGGGCAUUUUUCCAGAUAGGUGACUUACAAGAUCUCCUGCCAAGAAAAUAUCUAUUGCUUUGAACCUCCAUUGAAAUUUCUUUUCCCUUUUUCUUGUUUUGACUUGGAACUUUCCAGCAUCAUCUAUUUGAUCUUUUUUAAAGCUAAAAUAGCAAUCUAUGCGUUGUCAACAUCUUAUCCCCCGCCCCCCCGGGGGGGCCACCAAAAAAAAAAAAAAAACCAAUGAGUUGUCAAUAAAUAGCGCCUACUCAACUUAUGUUCUCCAAUGAUGACAAUGUGCAAAUUGACCUAGCAGCCACAUUUUUCCCCCCUUUCAACCACCAUUAGGCAACUUUUCUAACCUUUCUUCAUUGCCCACGUCUACAGAACUAUCAUAUAAAGACUACAUUAUUAUUGGGACAGAGAAAAAAAUACAGACUAUAUUAUUAUUAUAUCUCAUUUUAUUAAUUAACUAGUGCAAGACUUAUUUAGUGUCAAAUCAAGAACUAAUUAGAAAAGACAACUCAUGAUAAUACAGACUUUAAAAAGCAAUAGCUAGCAACACCCCAUAUACUCCUAUUUUAGCCUUCAAUAUCCUGGUAAAAACACAAUUAAGUCUAGCAAAAGAACAUUCACAAGUAAAUUCAACAUUAAUUAAGAUUAAGUAUCUACUGCACCUUCAAUCAAUGACUCGGUGAAUAGCAUGGUCAACCAUCUAGUUCCUGUAGCCCUCCUUGUACCUAUGUUAGUUACAUUUUACAUAUUAAGCCACGAAAAUGAAGGAUCACAGCCUGGUAAAGAAAGCCAUUAAUUAAUAGUUUUUGUUUAAAAAGUUCUCGUUUAGAUCUUUCCUAUUCAAUGAAUCAAUGUAAUCCAAGGAGAACUCUUCCAUUUCAAGCAGUGUUAGAAGAUAAUUGGAAAGCCUAAAGAUAAUAUACAAGGACCAAGAUAUCGAUUAGGUCAAAUAGUGAAUGUCAAAUAUAAAAAAUAAAUAAAAGAAGUUGUACAUGAUCAUUUACUAUCAAGUUCUGUAAAACUGAAAAUACCAUUAUCCCUGUAGAGAUUCUCAAACAACUCUUUAGCAAAUUAUAAAAUAGUUAAAAAAAGAUCGAAAGUUUAAAAAAAAAAAAAUGUACAACAGCCAUAUCAGGAGAAGUUUUUCUUCUCAAUCUCAAUAUUUUCUAGCCGUAAAACAAUUGAAAAGCUUAACACCAAGUGAAUUAUUAAGAAUUCAUCAUUUAAAUUCCCAAAUCGUAAAAUGUUGGUGCAACUACGAAAGUGCAAAUGCAAUCACUUUACUUACACAAGAAACAUCAAUAGUGAGAAGCCAACUUUGUAUCAAAUUUGAAGCAGAUAGAUAGAGGUCAAAAAAAUUAUAAAGACACUCAAUUAAAAGCCUUUCAAACAGCUUUUGCAUGCAACAAGAACAAAUCAAAGGCGAUGUGAAUGUAUUCAAAGACUAAUUUACAAUCAUCUACAGGACAUAAAUAUCUUGGAUAACUACUCUCUAUACCUUACUGUCCCACUGAAAAUCAUCAAAUCCCUCCAAACAAAAAUGACAAAAUGGAUAAGAAUUGUGUGGUCAAACAUCAAUAACUUAGCAGCCACAGCAAAAACUUAUGUAGACACGCAAGCCACUCAAAAUAGUCAUAUUGUUUGCUUUCCAAACACAAGCCACUUUGUAAUGAAUAUUCAUAAAUUGCUACUACCAUGUUUGUUAAAACACGUGAAAACCGCCAUCACUAACUAAAUGUAACUGAUGAUCAUCAUCACGUUCAUGGAAUCACAUGUCUGACAGUAUUAAUUAGUGCAAAUGGCAUGCUUCUUAAAACUCCUUAUUUAUCACACGGGCGCCAUUCCAAUCAACCAAUGAUUCUGAUCUAGUCGGCAUAUUCAACCCACGAGCGAGUAAUAGCUCCUAUUGCUUCUUUACAUUUCUCAACGAAAUUCCACAUUCUAACCAUACUUCUGAACUUGUUGCUCCCAUAGACUAAUACAAUAUAAAGAUUUCUUCCCACACCGCCUCAGCCCCCACUCCUAAAAAACCAAUUUAAAUUCUCAUUGACUGUACAACCUAUAGUCCAUACCAAAUUGAAAAAUUUACAAAUAUAGAACCUCAAAGAAUCUUCUUGCAUUCCAUUUUUUACGUCAAGAAAUUUGACUUUUACCACAUGCAAGUCAACAAAUAAAAAAAUCAUGUCUUUGUGAGAUGCACAUUUUCAGACGAAUCUGAAGAGCAAUGAAACCGUAAAAACCGAAUAUGAGAACACCGAGGACUCCAGAUAUCACCUAUAGAAUCUUCGGUCCACACUUGCAUGAUGAAAAUGAUGAAAAAAAAUUGAAGGCUUCGUCACCAACUCCCCAGGUUGUUUUGUUCUCCUAUCUCCUAAAUGUAAAGGAAAGGCAACCCGUUCUUUUUCCAAUCUUAAGGGGCACAGAACGACUCUGGUAUAAAAUAGUCAGUUUCUAUACAAAAAUAACUCCUUUGCACUUGGCACUGCACAUCUCAAAAUAAAAAGCAUGCAAGGAGGAGAAUAUAAUAGCAUUAAACAAGUUUUAUUAACCAAACUUCAAAGAUGCCACACAAGGCAAAAAAGAAAUCUGUACAAGCCAGAUCCCAAGAAUAAUAAUUCCAAUAUACAAUUCAGGAAAACAAUAACUAAAACCAGGUUCAUGAGGCCUCAGCAGAAGCAACAUGUAAUAGCCAUACUCUAUUAUUUGAAACACAUUUCCAAGUUUGGUUAAGAUUCUAAACUAUUCUCUAUGUGUCAAUUAUUAACAUGUAAAACAUAAUAAUAUACACUUAUACUACUACAGUAGUAAAACCAGUAAAACAACAAUACCUGCUGAAAAGAUUUGCUACCUCUUCACAUUCACGAGCAUUGUAGAAUCAAAUCCCAUUUACUUCUUGGGAUGCAUUCCGAUAUAACAAAUACGGAACCUGAACUUCAAACUCAAAAUCUCCCAAAAGAUUUUCCACUAAAUUAUCUGCACAUAUCCAAGAUAUUGAAGCUUAUCAGUGCAAAAACAUAUGCAAAAAGACAUGAAGGUUAGAAGACAUAACUAAAACUUAGCAACAACUGAUAAGCACAACAAGACAUGAAAUAUAACACUAGUUGUAAAUACUCUAAAACUUACCAACCCCCUCUCCUGAUUGUCAUAAAACGGCCAAUAUUUAACCCUAGACAACAAAAUUGCAAAUACUCUAGCCUCUAUAUUAUUGGCAUAUAAAUAUUUUCGGUUAGGUACAUUAUAUUCUUCGUUCUAAAACCUCAAUUAUUAGCUAGUACUGUGAUAAAAUGAUUCAUCACUGAAAUUAAAACUAGUUCACGUACAAAUAAUCAAAACUGAAAUAGAAGCAACGAUAAACCAACCUGUAUUACGUCGAUUCAUCACAACAAACUGAAAUCGAGGCUGUGUGUUCCUGAAAAUUGAAAAAAUAAUAAUUUCACCAACUUCAUAUGUAAUACAAUCUCCAAAACACCGAAUAUCAAAUGAAAAAAUGGAAAGCAUAAGAGAUAAAAGAAUCUAAUUUUAUUGACCUUUUGACGACGAAGAGAGAUCCUUCAACAUCCUUACGACUCCAUUGGCUGAGAUCGAUGUUGAACUCGUAGAAGGUGACAUGAGCGGCCGUGAUGAGGAUCUCCUCAAUGAAUGGAUCGAUUCGCUGAAGAACUGUCAGGCUUAGGAGUUUUGUGCUCUGCUGGUCCAGAUUAGGCAUCAAUUUUCCGUUCUGCGACAUUUUUCAUAGUCCUUUUGGGCUUCUGCCCCGAGCACAAGCCCCAUGGUUUUUCUGUGAGCUCUCUCUCUUUUGUAAAUAAAGUGUUUGAUGAGAUAGCCGAGAGAGAGUGAAGAGUUGAACAGCUAAACAAGGUGAGGUGAACAGUUUCGGACUGAGACUCGAGAUUGAUCUUGCUUUAACGUCUUUUAAACAUUUGGGAAAUAGCAUUUAUUUCUUUCAAUUUCUCUACUGUUUUUUUCCUUUAUGUCAUUUAGACCCCAAAAUUAGAUUUAUUAUAAUCAUAUUGUACCCAUACACUAUUAACCCCUUUUAUUUUUUAUAUUGUCAAUAUUAAUGUAUUAGAAUAAUGUUAGAAAUCUCAAUUAUUAUCUCAAUGUUUCAAUCAUAACUAAUGUGAUAAUUCAUCGGUAACUGCAACAUUAACUUAAUUAUUAAUGUUUAUCAUGAAAUGAUGAGAUUAUUAUUCAAGAAAGAAUUAGUAAACAUCAAUGACUAAAAUAAUGUGACAAUUAUAGCUGAAUAUUAGUACAAUAAUUAGAAUUCCUAAAGUUAGUGAAUGUAUUAUAAUAUAUGUGUGUUACACCACUUUAUGUCUCUCAAAUUCAAUUAAGUAAUUUCAGAAACCUGACCUUUUAUUAUAUUAAUUAGGAAUGCAUACAUGAACGAAAGAUGUGCAAAUUUUGUUCUAUUUUUCACUAUUAUUUACCUUUCAUCUACAUACGUCACUUGAUUUUUUGUGAUUAAUAUGCUUAAAUGGAUCUCUUUGAUAUAAAUAAAAUAAACAAAAAGUCUAAGAGAAAAAAAAAAUGAGGACCGAAAUUAUUACACCUACAACAAAUUUGCCCAGAGAGCAAUAAAUCAAACUUGCUUAGGAAGUACAAUGAUUAGUUAAUAACUAUCAUGUUAAAGCUUCUGUCAAGCAAACACCCAUUGAAUUUUUCGCUCGCUUCAAUGACUUACUUAUGCCCAAUAUAUUACUUUGCACAGUAGUAUUUGGGAUCCUAACAAUCAACUCUUAAUUUGGUCCCAAUAUAUUACUUUAUGAAUGCUUGUGUUGUUUUUUUUAUAUAAAAUAAUUUAUUUAAGUAAUCAUAGAAAUAAGGGAGAAAAGGGGGCAUUUGUUGACUCAAAGUCAAUUACAAAUAUUCCAUGCCUAACUUCCACGCACCCUAAAACGGUUUUAUUUGCUUUCACGCGUUCAUGAAUUUCCAUGAAAGAGAGUGCCUCUCGUCUCUUUCCGGACAGUGCCGACAAUUAUGUUAACGUGACAAAUACAUAACGUUAUUACAUACAAUAAUAAGUUUUUGGACCCGAGACUUGAGGGAGGUUCUAUCUAAUUCUAAAGAUUGUAACCAAAUCAUUAUCCCCAAUUUUUUUCAGUUAAAUAAAAUAAAAUUUAUGCUUACGUAUAAAUAAUACUUUGGACAUUCUUGAUAUUUGUCCUUUUAAGAUAAACACCAACCCAAUUAUCUAUUUGUUUGUCUGUUUUUUUUUUUCAAUAACAGUUUGUUAGCAUAAAUAUUUACCUGUGAAAUCGAGGAGGAGAAAAUGUUAGAAAAAAUAAAAAGAAAAAAAAUUAAGGGAGAUAGAAUCAGAUUUUCUUUUUUGAGCAAAGAACAUACAUAAAAAGAUAUUAAAUCUAUUAAGUCUACUUGUCUAUAACGGUAAAUUGCAUAACGAAUAAUUUAUCAGAACAAAAUAAAUUUUAUUAGAUUAUGAGUGUUCUGAUUAUUUUUUAGAGUACCAAUUGUCCCAUGGCACAACAAAAUGCCAGAAAAUAUAAUGUAAAAUUGCUGGUUUGUUGCUUAAAAUUUUCAAUAAUAAUUUCACCUUUUUAGUAAUUAGAGAGAGAUGGAGAGGAUUGACGGCCAAUGUUUAGCGAUUUGGGGUCAAUUCAAAGUCAACUAACGUGUAAAACACGUGUAAGCAUAGAAAACGCUUAGAUUAUUUGUGUUUCAAGUGCAAGAAAAGUAAGAAAAGAAAAAAUGAUUUCCUUUCAUGAACUUCCAAGAAAGAAAGAAGACCCUUCACCUUCUUCGCGACAACAAAUGAUGUUGAUAUGACAAAUACAAGCGCUAUUACAGGGAACAUCAUAAGACCGAGACUUGAUAAAGGGUUUGUUAAAUUACACGUUAUUUUCUUGUUGACUGAAUUGGAAGAAAAAAAUAAAAUAAAAUAAAAUUGUAAUCAGGGUGAUGUGUGGAAUAUAGUGAAAUAAAUAAAUAGAGAAGAGAAACUCGUUGAUCAAUUAAAAGCUGGGAGUAUCAUCAGUUCAAUUGGUUAUAAAUAGCGUAGAGCCAUCCUCUCGUUGUUGCAGAACUGAAGGAAAGAGAGACAGAAAGAGUGUGUGUAGGUGAUUAUAAUUAAGAAGAUAUAAUGUGUGGUUCAAAAAGAGUGUGGGUGAGUGAGUUAAUUUUCAUAUUAUUAGUAGUAAACGGGUGGUGGAGUGAGGGAUGUUUGGAGCAAGAGAGGUCUGCUCUCCUCCAACUCAGACAUUUCUUCAAUGAUGAUCAACGUCUUCAAAACUGGAUAGACGAUGAGUAUUAUUCAGAUUGUUGUCAGUGGGAACGGGUUGAGUGCAACAACACCACUGGCAGAGUGAUUAAAUUAGAUCUAAGAUAUACUCGGAAUCGGAAAUCAGCAGAGUGGUAUAUGAAUGCCUCUCUGUUUACUCCCUUUCAACAAUUAGAGUCUCUUGAUCUAAUUGGGAACAAUAUAGCCGAUUGUGUUGAUAAUGAAGGUCCUUAAUUUACUCUAUUUUAAUUCUUCCUCAUAAUUUUUUCCAUUUAUCUGAUCCCUUUUGGUUUUUAUUUAAUUUGUAUGUGAUACAAUAAAAUUAUUUUUUAUUUUUUAUUUUUUGGCAGGUCUAGAUAAGUUAUCAAGGUUGAACAACUUGAAGGUUCUUUAUUUAGACCUUAACCACUUCAACAACAGCAUCUUUUCAUCUCUAGGUGGUCUUUCAUCACUCAGAAACUUAUCAUUGGCUGCUAAUCGAUUGAAUGGAAGUGUUGAUAUUAAAGGUAAGUAAGCUUCAUCCCUUCUCCCCUGUCCCAUCUUUUGUGGAUCUUAUUUCACUGAGCAGCUGGAAGUAUUGAUACGAGAUCUAGCUAGACUCUUGCGAGUUUAGGCUUCACGGCUUUGAAUAGUAUAAAAAUAAGUUGAAGAAAUUAUCAAUAUAUGCAAUUUUCAAUGCUUCUCAUAAUCAGACACAAUUCAAUCUAAUUAUUUCGUAUGUCCUGUCUUCAAAAGUAAAGAAUUGAGCUCCGAUUGGAAAUCGACAUCGUAGCUUUUUAUUUUCUGUAAUGCUAUUUCUUCGUUAACAAGUUUAUAUCCUAAGAGGGAUUGGAUUCGAAAAAAGUUUUGACGUUCAAGGUAAGCCAUAAUAACCUGCAUCUUAUUUGUCUGCCUGUAUCUAAAUUUGUGCACUGAAUUUAGUAUUUUGGUUAUUGUUAAGGGAUCAGAUAUUGGCUUCCAUAGACCAACUUGUACUUAGUUAACUAAUUAAUUAACGACAUUUAGUAUUUAACAAAUUAAAAUUUUGUAUUUAAUCUAUUUUAAUUUUUUUAAGAAAAAAGAAAAAGAUAUAGCAACAGGUAAAGCUAAAAUAUACCUGCUUAAAGCCACUCAGUCGAGCCAUUUGAGAGCUGCUUUAAAUUUUUCGGAUUAGCCAUAUUCUUUUCUUAUUAAUAAAAUUCUUUUCGCUGAGAUUUAACAAAAAAAAAGGAGAAAAUAAUUUAUUUAAUUAACUAUGUUUUAAGUGUUGGAAUAAAUACAGGACUGAAAUCCUUGAGUAACUUGGAGGAGCUGGACAUGAGCUUCAAUGCAAUCGACAAUCUUGUGGUUCCUAAAGGUAUACAAAAUGUUCAAAUAUUAAUAAUUUGGAGGACAGUUUAAUUGAUUUGAUAAGGUGAAGAAACGUGUUUUCAUUUCUUAAAUAAAGCAUUAUACAUUGAGAGUUAUUUAUAGAUGCAGAGGCUACAUUUUUUCAAAGAUUACAUAUGUGAAUACGGAAGGAAAUGUGUCAAUCCGUUCGGCGCGGAUCUUGUCUUUGACAAGUGCAGAUUCUGUCUUUGAAAGCUUCAUUCAAUGUCGUUUUAUUUGAUUCUCAACACUCCCCCUCAAGUUGGUGCAUAGAUGUCUUGCAUACCCAACUUGUUUAGGAAUUUUGUAAAUGCCCUGCUUGAAAUGGCCUUCGUUAAAAUAUCUGCAAGUUGAUCUUCUGAUCGAAUUUUCGGCAGUUCUAAGAUUUUUUCAUCUAAUUUCUCCUUGAUGAAAAAUCUAUCUACCUCCACAUGUUUUGUUCGAUCGUGUUGAACUGGGUUAUGAGCAAUAUCUCGUGCAGCUUUGUUGUCACAGUGUAAUUGUAUUGGUUGUUGUGAUGGAUAGCCCAAAUCGUUUAAGAUAAAACUUAUCCAUUGCCCUUCACAUAUCCCAAGGGCCAUGCCUCGAUAUUCUGCUUCAGCGCUCGAACGGGCAACGACAUGUUGUUUCUUGCUUCUCCAUGUGACAAGGUUUCCUCCCACAAAGGUAAAGUAUCUUGAAGUAGAGCGUCUAUCACUAACUGACCCCGCCCAAUCUGCAUCAGUAUAAACUUCUAUGUUGCUGUAAUCUUCAUUUUUGGAAAAUAAGAUUCCUUUUCCUGGAUUUGUCUUCAGGUACCUCAAGAUCCGCAUUACUGCUUUCAUGUGUUGUUCUCUGGGAUUAUGCAUAAACUGGCUUACAACACUCAAUGCAUAAGCAAGAUCUGGCCUUGUGUGGGACAAGUACAUCAAUCUUCCAAUCAGCCUUUGAUAUCUUCCUUUGUCUACUGGAACUUGGUCUGAAGUAAUACAAAACUUCAAUCCUUCUUCUAUUGGGGUGUCAAUAGGCUGACAAGCUGUCAUUCCCGUUUCGUGCAAUAGAUCUAAGGCAUAUUUCCUUUGAGACAGAAAGAUUCCUCCCUUAGAUCGAGAAACCUCAAUUCCAAGAAAGUAUUUUAAGGCACCUAAAUCCUUUAUCUCAAACUCUCUUGACAAGUACUUCUGAAGAGCCUCUGUUUCUUCCUCGUCGUUGCCUGUAACUACCAUAUCAUCCACAUAGACAAUAAGGGCAGUGAUUUUACCUUGUCGUUUUUUUAAUGAAUAAGGUAUGAUCUGAAUUGCUUUGGUUAUACCCAAAACGAACCAUAGCCUUUGUGAAUUUCCCGAACAAUGCUCUUGGGGAUUGCUUCAACCCAUACAAUGAUUUCUUCAAUUUGCAUACUUUCUGACUGAGUCGUUCUAGUCCACUGCAUCCUGGUGGCAGAUCCAUAUAAAUUUCUUCAGACAGGUCUCCAUGGAGGAAAGCAUUCUUUACAUCGAACUGUUGCACUGGCCAAUCCAAGUUGACUGCUAAUGAUAAUAAGAUACGAAUAGUAUUAAUUUUUGCUACCGGUGCAAACGUAUCAAUAUAAUCAAUCUCGUAGGUUUGGGUGUAACCCUUAGUUACGAGUCUUGCUUUGUAUCGUUCAAUAGAGCCAUAUGCUUUGUAUUUUAUAGUGUAGAUCCAUCGACAACCCAUUGGUUUCUUUCCUGAUAGAAGAUCAACUAGUUCCCAUGUUUGAUUUUUCUGAAGAGAUCUCAUUUCAUCAUUCAUAGCCGCUUUCCACUUUGGAUCUUUUAAAGCUUCCUGAACACUGUUAGGAAUAGAUACAGCAGAUAAUUGAUUCACAGAUGACUGAUUUGAUUCUGACAAGCGAUGGUUAGACACAAAAUGACUCAUAGGGUAUUUGACUCUACUAGAGAAGUCAGGCUCAUAUGUGGGUUUAGGGAUACCUCUAUUUUGACGUUGGGGAAGAAUUCUUCUUAUUGGACUUGUGGUAGGAACAUCCUCUGCAGACGAUUGGUUAGGUAUUUCUUCAUGUGACUCAUUCUCGAUUGCAGUUGUGUUUGAGUUAUUGUGCUCCCCAAAUGUGUCUUCACAUAUCUCAGCCUGCGAAUCAUCACCAUUUGCUUUUCCAGUAUUUUGAAGGUUUACUAUCUCAAUGGAAGAUUGACUUUCUUCAGGUGGAAGAUAUGUAAGAGUAUGAAUUUCCUAUUCAUUAUACUCCCCCUGAAAUUCAGACUCUGACAAGUAGUAUAUGAUAUCUUCAUGAAAAACGACAUCCAUGGUGAUGUAUAUUUUUCUUGAUGGUGGAUGAUAGCAUCGAUAUCCCUUUUGAUGUAAGGCAUACCCUACAAACACACAACGUAGUGUUCGAGGAGAUAAUUUGUCUUGUUGUGGCAAAUGAACGAAGGCAACACAGCCAAACACAUGUGGGGGCAGAUUCGGCAUAUUUGGUGACAUAAUUGCAUCAUUCAGAACUUGGAAAGGAGUCUGGAAUCCAAGGGAGCUUGAAGGUGUUCGAUUGAUCAAGUAUGCUGCGGAUGCCAGUGCUUCUCCCCAAUAAGAUAAUGGCAUGUGGGCUUGGAUUAGUGAUGCUCGAACAACUUCUAGUAAAUGUCUAUUUUUUCGUUCAACAACGCCAUUUUGUUGGGGUGUCCCCACACAAGUGGUUUGAUGGACAGAUCCUUGUGAUUUCAGAAACUGUUGAAUUGCUGUGCUCAUAUACUCGCCUCCAUUAUCAGUAUGUAGAACUCGAAUUUGUGUCUGAAAUUGAGUAGUCACCAUCUUAUGAAAUCUUUGAAAUAAAGAGUUUACUUCGUCUUUCGAUUUCAUCAGAAAAAUCCAUGUCAUUCUGCUACAAUCAUCAAUAAAUGUAACAAACCAACGAGCACCUCCAAUUGUAGAAACUUUAGAUGACCCCCAUACAUCAGAAUGUACUACCAUAAAAGGAACUGGAUUUUUAUUUAAGGACAAUGGAAAAGUAGUUCGAUGGCUUUUUGAAAGUUCACAAACAUCACAUUUAAAGUUACAAACAUCAAAUUUCAAAAACAAACUAGGAAAUAAUUUUUUUAAGUAACCAAAUGACACAUGCCCUAAACAUCUAUGCCAUAACCAAAUUUCUGAUUUCCCUUUUUUAUGGAACUAUCUGCGACUAGUGCGGGGCUUAGCUUUCCAGUGUUUGUUGAUGACAUCUCCAAGUAGUACAAGUUGCCUCGUCUAAUACCAUAACCAAUCGUUUGCUUCGUUUGGAUGUCCUUAAACACACAAUGAUCAGGCCAAAAAAUUACAACACAUGAUAAGUAAGUGGUUAAUUGAGACACAAAUAAAAGAUUAUAAUCUAAAGAUGGAACAAUUAACACAGUGUCUAAAUUUAAUUCAUUUGUGAGUCAUAAAGAUCCUUCCCCAAUAACUGAGGUUGUGGUUCCAUUUGCAGUAGAAAUAUGUUUUUGUGAAGAUGGUUUCAAUUGAGAAACUUGUCGAGAAUCAAAAGUCAUAUGAUCAGUUGCCCCAGAAUCAAUUAUCCAUGUACUAUUAAUAACAGGUGUACGAGUUUUAAGGGCCUUACUUAGACUAACAGAGGUUGCGAUUUGCACUGAAGAUUCUUUUCUAAGAUCUGUAGUGGAUGUGGAUUCAGCUACUGCAGUUUUUGAUCCAUGCUUGGUGUUCUUCUUUCGAGUAUCCCACCAGUUAGGAUAUCCAAUGAUUUCAAAACAUUGUUCUUUCGUAUGACCCUUCUUUCUACAAUGAGUGCAAUGGAGUGAUGACUUGUCAACAAACUUCCUUUGAGGCUGCUGUCGUGCUAUCAUAGUAGACGUUUCUGAGUCGACCUUCUUGUUUAGUUUGCUUUGCCGUAUAUCUUCUCUUCGGAUCAGAGAAUAACAUUCUUCUAACUCUGGGAUAAUGUCUUUUCGUAGAAUUUCUCCACGAACUUGGUCAAAUUCUUCAUCUAGCCCAGCAAGAAAAAUGUGCACUCUCAAUCUUUCAACAGACCUUCUGUAUAUUACAACAUCUUCUGGAUCCUUCAUGACCACUUUAUCUCGGUGAUCAAGUUCUCGAAAUAUUUCGACCAAUUCUCCAUAGAAUUUAGAGAGUGGUUGUCCAUUUUGCUUAGUAGAGAAUGCCUUCUGGUUUAGAGUGAAAACUUGUAAUUCAUCGCUUCCAUCAUAGAAGGCUUUUGAUAAUGCAUCCCAGAUUUCGUAGGCUGUAGGAAUUCGUAAAUAUCGCUUCAUGAUCACCAGAGACAUGGAUAUGAGUAACCAUCUUUUUAUUUUUUGGUUCUCACUAUACCAUUUCUCAUAUUCCUUUGAAGAUUCCUCAAAUGGCUUUGUGCUGCUACGAAUAUAUGAGAGUUUUUCUCUUUCUGCAAGAUGCAUCUCCAUUAUUUGAGACCAAACAUCGUAGUUUGUCUCAGUCAGGAUAAUUCCAGCAUUAAAUACUCCAUCAGAUUGAACAGAUUGAAUGACAACAUGACUAGAUUCAGUUGGAGUUUUCUCCAUUUUUUUUGUUUUUCUUUUUUCUCUUUUUUUUUUGUUUUUUUUGUUUUUUUUGUUUUUUUUGUUUGUUUUCUUUUUUUUGUUUUUUUUCCGUCUAGAUUGAAAGAAAAAAAAAAUAACCUUUUUAGGUAACAAAACGACAGGUCGUUUGGCCACUGCUUGCCAAACUGACAUGUCGGUUAUGGUGGAAUAUAAACGACAUGUCGUUUUAAUCCUGUUGCACUUCUGGAGACUAAGCGUCACGUCGUUUUACCUCUAAUUUAAAAUCGACAUGUCGGUUUUAAUAUAACGAAAAAAGACACGUCGUUUUUUGACUGCUGCACUUCUGAAAUAAAAACGACAUGUCGGCUGACGUCUUCUUCAACCUCUGGAGCAUGUGAGAGCGCGUGAAUGAUGACAGAGGCGCGUGGUUGACUGGCCGUGGCUUCGGGUGGCGGGUGGGAGCGCGUGGGAAUGUGUUUAAAUGCGAAAUUUUUACAGUUUCUUCACUGAAAACUGAGAAAUUUGAUGGUGUUCUUGGGUUUUGAGGAACACACUCUCAGAAAAUUGCUGGGAUUGUUGAUAAAUUUGUAAACUCAAGUUUUUUACGUAUGGGUGGCUUGUUUCUUGAUCGGCAUGGAUAUCUGUAAUGGUAGGAAUGGGUUUAAGAAAGAAAAUGGUGGGAAAAAUGGUUGUGGGAGGAAUUUGGUUUCCUCUAUUUUUGUUACAAACAGAGCAGCGGAACUUGAAGAAACUUGAGCGUAUUCAUGGCUCUGAUACCAUGAAGAAACGUGUUUUCAUUUCUUAAAUAAAGCAUUAUACAUUGAGAGUUAUUUAUAGAUGCAGAGGCUACAUUUGUUCAAAGAUUACAUAUGUGAAUACGGAAGGAAAUGUGUCAAUCCGUUCGGCGCGGAUCUUGUAUUUGACAAGUGCAGAUUCUGUCUUUGAAAGCUUCAUUCAAUGCCGUUUUAUUUGAUUCUCAACAGGAAUGCCCAAUGACACUUACCCAAAAUAAUUUAAUCCGAAAUUGUAUCCCAAAUAGAUUACAGAGGUUUGAGGAAGUUGGAUACCCUUUAUUUGGGAGGGAAGGGAAAUUGCAGUGAUAUAUGGAAGCAAGGUGUUGCAAUCAAUAAAGAAAUUCAUAGGGUCAAUAUUCAAGGACUCUCCUCCAACUCAAACAUUUCUCAAAUAGAUUAUUUAAUCUGAAAUAGUAUCUCAAAUAGAUUAUAGAGGUUUGAGGAAGUUGAAUACCUUUUAUUUGGGGGGGAAGGGAAAUUGCGGUGAUAUAUGGAAGCAAGGUGUUGCAAUCAAUAAAGAAAUUCGUUGGUCAAUAUUCAGGACUCAUCCAAAGUGAUCGUUAAAGUCUAGAGGUCUGCUCUUCUCCAACUCAAACAUUUCUUCAAUGAUGAGAAUUAUUCAAAUUGUUGUCAGUGGGAAGGGGUUGAGUGCAACAACACCACUGGCAGAGUGAUUAAACUAGAUCUAGGAGCCACUAGGAAUCGGGAAUCAUCAGAGUGGCAUAUGAAUGCUUCUUUGUUUACUCCCUUUCAACAAUUAAAGUCUCUUCAUCUAAUUGGGAACAAUAUAGCCGAUUGUGUUGAAAAUGAAGGUCUUUAAUUUACUCUAUUUUAGUUCUUCCUCGUAAUUUCUUACAUUUAUCUUAUCCCUUUUGGCUUUUGUUUAAUUUGUACGUGAUACAAUAAAAUUAUUUUUUAUUUUUUGGCAGGUCUAGAGAGGCUAUCAAGGUUGAACAACUUUAAGUUUCUUUAUUUAGACCUUAACCACUUCAACAACAGCAUCUUUUCAUCUCUAGGUGGUCUUUCAUCACUCAGACAAUUAUCAUUGGCUACUAAUCGAUUGAAUGGAAGUGUUGAUAUUAAAGGUAAGUAAGCUUCAUCCCUUCUCCCGUGUCCCAUCUUUUGUGGAUCUUAUCUCAUUGACGGGCUGGAAGUAUUGAUACGAGAUCUAGCUAGACUCUUGCUAGUUUAGGCUUCAAGGCUUUGAAUAUUACAAAAAUAGGAUUAAGAAAAUAUCAAUAAAUGCAAAUUUCAAUGCUUCUCAUAAUCAGACACAAUUAAAUCUAAUUAUUUUGUAUGUCCUGUCUUCAAAAGAAAAGAAUUGUACACCAAAUGGAAAUCGACAUUAUUGUUUGCUUUUGAUUAGUGGAUCAAAAAUCGACUAAUUUUUGUUUAACAUAAAAAUAAAAAAGAGAAAAUAAGUUAUUUAAUUAACCCUGUUUUAAGUGUUGGCAUAAAUGCAGGACUGAAUUCCUUGAGUAACUUGGAGGAGCUGGACAUGAGCUUCAAUGCAAUCGAAAAUCUUGUGGUUCCUAAGGGUAUACAAAAUGUUCAAAUAUUAAUAAUUUGGAGGACAAUUUAAUAGAUUUGAUUAGGGAAUGCCCAAUGACACUUACCCAAAAUAAUUUAAUCCAAAAUUGUAUCCCAAACAGAUUUCAUAGGUUUGAGAAAGUUGAAUACCCUUUGUUUAGGGGGAAGCAGAAUUCGAAUGAUAGAUGGAAGCAAGGUGUUGCAAUCAAUAGGAUCACUACCGUCCCUUAAAACACUUUAUCUUUCGUCUACUAAUUUUACGGGAACAGUAGUUAAUCAAGGUAAGUAAAUCUUUUAUGUAGAAAAUAAUUGAAUUAAUAUAUAUAGCUAAAAUUUACUGUUUCUACUUCUUUCUAAAUAGAAUUGCACAAUUUCACCAACUUGGAAGAAUUGAUAUUGCUCGGGUCUCAUCUCCACGUAAGCCAGCUUCUGCAAAGCAUCGCAUCAUUCACAUCGUUAAAGCAUUUGUCAAUGCCAGUUUGUACGCUUACAGGUGCCGUACAUGGUCAAGGUAAAUUACGGGUAUCUGAAGCUUUUAUGAUAUUAAUUCGAUAAUAAUUAUUUCUUUUCAAGUUAAUUUUCUCCCAUAAAAUAAUAUAUAUUUUUUUAAAUUUUAUAUAUUUUCACUGUCCAAUAGUUCUAGCUUCUCUAAUUUGCAGGAUUCUUGAUUAAGGUUAAUGAAAUUUUAGUUCUGUUAUGUUAAGAAUAUUUUGAUCGCUAAGAAGAGUAAAGAAAAAUAAGUAAAUUAACCCAAAAAAAGAAAAGAACAGGAACAUAUUAUCCUUAUUACCUUGCAUUAUGUGAUCAAUAUCAAAAUAAUAACCAUUUCUUGUUUAUUGCUUGUAGAUUUUCGUAAAUUCAACAAUUUGGAACAUCUGUACAUGGGUGAUGUGCAGGUUGACGUCAACACCAGUUUUCUUCAAAUUGUCGGCGAAUCGAUGCCUUCUCUUAAGUUUUUAUCACUGACAGAUUCAAGUCUUAAUAAAAACACCAUUCUUGAUCAAGGUUAGUUAAUGAUUCUCUUUCUCCCUCUCGCGCAUCUUAACUAAAUUUAAUUGCGAAUAUCUGUAAUGCUAGCUAUUUAUAAACUUAAUGAAAGAUGAUAAGGAGCCAUAAUAAUGACAAAAAUAACUGUAAAAUAGUGCACUGUUGUAGUGUUGAUUGAAAAAUAAUGCUAAUUUUUUACUUAACACUAUAACGCUGUAUAAUUUUACAGUUAUUUUGUUGCCAUUACGUCAUAUUCUACUGUUCAACUAUCAGUGAUCAAACUUAAUUUUUAAUAUGUACUUUAAAGAUUUUAUGCAAUUAUUUAAGUUUUAUGCAAUUAUAUUUUUCAGGACUUUGUCGGUUAGUGCAUCUGCAAGAGUUAUACAUCAACGGUAAUGAUUUGAGAGGUAGCUUGCCAUGGUGCUUGGCAAAUUUGACUUCCCUUCGAGUAUUAGAUGUCUCUUACAAUCAACUAACUGAAAACAUCUCCUCAUCUCCCCUCAUGCAUCUAACAUCUAUCGAAGAGCUCAUACUUUCAAAUAAUCACUUCUUCCAAAUCCCUAUUUCACUUGAACCACUUUUCAAUCUCUCAAAACUCAAGACUUUCGAUGGUGAAAUAUGCGCAGAAACUGAGUCACAUUAUAAUUCUUUGACCCCAAAAUUCCAACUGACUUCUAUCUCACUGUCUGGUUACAUAGAUGGUGGCACAUUUCCCAAAUUCUUGUACCAUCAGCAUGACUUGAAGAAUGCUGAUCUCUCACACCUUAACUUGAGUGGACAAUUUCCAAAUUGGUUGGUAGAAAACAAUACGAACUUAGAGACGCUUCUUCUUGCCAACAACUCUCUUUUUGGAUCAUUUCGGAUGCCAAUUCAUUCCCACCAGAAAUUGGCAAGAUUGGAUGUCUCUAAAAAUUUCUUUCAAGGCCAUAUUCCGGUGGAAAUCGGAACAUAUCUGCCAUGUUUAAUGGAUUUAAACUUAUCUAGAAAUGCUUUCAACAGUAGCAUUCCCUCUUCAUUUGCUGAUAUGAAAAUGUUGGAAAGGUUGGACAUAUCCUACAAUCAGUUGACUGGUGAAAUCCCUGAGCGCAUGGCCACGGGUUGCUUCUCAUUGGAAAUUCUUGCAUUGUCAAACAACAGUUUGCAAGGUCAUAUAUUCUCUAAAAAAUUUAACUUGACAAAUUUGAUGACGUUGCAGUUGGAUGGUAAUAAUUUCAGUGGAGAGAUCCCAGAAAGCUUAUCUAAGUGUCGUUUCUUAAGAGGAUUAUAUCUAAGUGAUAAUCAUCUCUCUGGUAAGAUUCCAAGAUGGUUGGGUAAUUUGUCAGCUUUAGAAGAUAUUAUAAUGCCCAAUAACAAUCUUAAAGGACCAAUUCCAAUCGAGUUUUGUCAGCUUGAUUAUCUGAGGAUUUUAGACCUUUCAAACAAUAGUAUUUUCGGAACCUUACCAUCUUGUUUUAGUUCAGCAUAUAUCGAACAAGUUCAUUUGUCAAAAAACAAGAUAGAAGGACGGUUGGAAAGUAUAAUCCAUGACAGCCCCAAUUUGGUGACAUUAGAUCUCAGUUAUAACCGCUUACACGGAAGUAUUCCAAAUCUGAUUGACAGACUACCUCAGUUAAGCUACCUUCUUUUGGCUAAUAAUUAUAUUGAAGGUGAAAUACCAGUUCAAUUAUGCCAGUUGAAGGAAGUGCGGUUGAUUGAUCUUUCUCAUAAUAAUCUAUCUGGUCAUAUUCCUCCUUGCUUGGUUAACACUUCACUCAGUGAAGGUCAUCAUGAGGCAGUAGCUCCAACUUCUAGUUCGCAGGAUCAAUCGCCUGCCUUACUUCCAUCUGAGGCUCCAACUGGAUCUCCGAUGGGAAAGGAAGAAACUGUACAAUUCACAACAAAGAAUAUGUCCCACUAUUAUCAAGGAAGAAUUUUGACGAGUAUGUCUGGGAUUGAUCUUUCUUGUAACAAACUGACAGGUGAGAUUCCUACUCAAAUUGGAUAUCUUACUAGGAUUCAUGCACUAAAUCUAUCUCAUAACAAUUUGACGGGCACAAUCCCGACAACAUUUUCAAACCUGAAGCAAAUCGAAAGCUUGGACCUCUCCUACAACCUACUGCAUGGGAAAAUCCCUUCUCAGCUCACUGUGCUAAAUACAUUGGCGGUCUUCACAGUAGCAUACAAUAACUUAUCAGGCAAAAUUCCAGACAGAGUUGCACAAUUUUCAACUUUUGAGGAAGAUAGCUAUGAGGGGAAUCCUUUUCUUUGUGGAUGGCCACUGUCUAAAAGUUGCAAUGAUAGUGGAUUAUCAGCAGUGACACGAGAAGCUUACACUGAUAAUGAAGAAGGUGAUAGUUUAAUUGACAUGGACAGUUUCCUAAUCACUUUUACAGUAUCUUAUGGAAUUGUGAUAUUAGGAAUUAUUGGAGUUUUAUACAUAAACCCCUAUUGGCGACGAAGAUGGUUUUACCUUGUUGAAGUAUGUAUGAUCUCUUGCUACUAUUUUGUAGUAGAUAAUCUUAUUCCUAGAAGAUUCUAUGGUGGAUGGAUGUAAUUUCAUUUACUUUACAACUUAUAUGUAAUUUUUAAAGAAUUUUCUUUUGCAUGCAUGGAAUAGCAACUCAAUAAAAGUAUUUGAUGCAAAUUGUCCUAGAACAACUUAGUAAUUUCAUUGCUACUAUUUGGUUGUAUAUAUACAGUUAAUGAAAUUUUUAAUCAUUCGCAGUAGGAAUUUCUUUAGAUGGCGGCCAAAACUAACAGAUUUGGGGCUCUACUUCUACACAUCAUAACAGGCAAAAGGUCUCUCUUUUACACGAUCUGAAUGAAGAUUAACUUACGCCCUCUAGGCUCUGGAGUGUGUGUAAGUUCUCUAUUAAACUUGACGGUUGAGAUUUCAGGUCCAGAUGAAAGUUAAAUGCAGGCGACGAGACUUCACUUCAAGUAAACUGGGACAAACUGAGAGUGAUGGGUAGCUCAACUUAUGGAGGAUAACUUGGACUUGGAGUAACUAUCAGAUUUGCAACUCUUGUUAUAUGCUAGUGGGGAUUUAGGUAGCAAUUAUCGCCUUGAGAGUUACAGUAAUCGAUUCAUUUCCUCCUCCAUUUCUGAUGGUAACCCAGCUCUAUACAAGAACAAUCAGAGAAGGUUCAUUUAAGAAAUUUCACAACCCACAUUUUUUUUUUCCUUUUUGCCCUCUUCCUCACAAUAAAAACACCUAACACACCAAGCCGUGCACAAAAUAGUCCUAUUUUAUUCAAGUCAUGAAUCCAAAAACUAUCCCAGCUCACUUUGUUUAACCAGCAUAACUAAAUUGUGGGCAUAAAUGAACACACUUUCAGAAAGCUACACAAUACAAACUGGGUUUCACUUGCAGAAAGCUACACGAUAGACAAAAUCUAGCAGCUACAUAAUGGUAUCACUUUCAGCUGGUCAUGAAUGGUGUGCAUUCAGCAAUGCUCGAUAGACCAUGUCUAUGAAUUGAUUGUCCUAUUACAUAUAAAAUCUGGUCAGAUAUACAAGGAAAAAAAUAAUAAUUGAAAAUGCAUCACAAAAAAUAAGUCUCGCAUUAGUGUUUGCACUCUAAGCAUGAUUUGAAGACUGCGAUAAGUGAAAAAUAGUUCAAUCCACUGAUGAGCAUAAAUUUAUUUAAAUGUCAAUUUAGAUAUCAUAAAAAAGUAAACAGUAAUUCACAGUCACUUAAAAGAGUUGAUAAAAUGCGUGCCAUGAAUGCAUUUUUGUACAUAAGAAAUCCAAAGAGUAUUUCUGACAAUACAAAUAUGCUAGCUUUAAAUCUGCCGUCAAUAUGCAAUUAAGAAGAUUAUACCAGCUGCACGAUAAAGUUCCCCUAAUCUUAAUAACAGUAAACAUGAACAUGUCAGAUGCAAUUAUAGCUUCGAGCAUUUGCAUAACCAGAAAUCCUAACCUGAACAAGCACCAGAAGUGUCUCUCGGACUUUCUCCUUGCUGAUAAAUGGUCCGCUGUUUGAAGUAAGAGCAGGAGUAAGAGAUGGUGGAGGGGUUGGUGGUGGAAAAGGUUGAGGGACUGGGGCACCAUAUGGGCUGCAACACUCAGGGGAGGAUUAAGUGGCGGAGCUGUUGGUGUAGAUGAAGAGACAAGCUGCAUCAUCCGUGCAUAGGAGGAUGGAGGAGGAACAAAGAAUAAGGAAGGCUUUACAAGAUUAGGGGUAGGUGCUGAUAGAGGUGGAGAUGGUAUUUGCAAGGUUGGCACGAUAGGAGAAGCAACACUGGCGGGAUGAGAAGAUAAAGAAAUAGUUGUAUUGGACUGGUAAGGUUGUGCAGAGAUUGCUGCAUUAGAAGUAUUCCCUACAGUCAAAGCUGUCUGCAAUGAUAAGGACAGAUGUCAUAUACAAGGACAUCAUAGAAGUUGAACCUCACACAAAAAUGAAGUGAUAACAUAUGAAAAUAGUAUAUGACUUGCAGCAUUUUUGUGGUAAUGUUGCAUACUUAUGUAGAAACAUAUUAUUUCAAAGAAAACAUACACUGAAGAAGUUCACAAAAGCAGGAUCUUCAGGAACAUCAGCAGCAUUUGAGGGAGUUGACUCUAGAGGACCAUCCAUAACUGCCAUAGUUGGAACAGCUUCCAGUUCCUCAAACUCACUGCAGUUUAACAUAAAAGGAACUUGAUGACCAAUUUAAGUAAUAAUUAGAUGAUAUAAGAGGUUAGGGAAAAUGAUGAGUGGACCCUUAUGGAAGGUGAUUUCACCUUAGCUAAACACGAAAAUAAAAAGAAAUCACCUCGAGUGCAAUGCAAAGAAUUUUUUCUCUCUCUUCUCUAACUCCUCUUAUUCGAAAUUGCUCAUCAUUGUGCUGUUCUUCGAGUUUUCGCUAGAGUAGAGAAAGCUAUUCUCCCGUUAAGUGCAGAGGAAAGAGAAGGGAAAGGGCCUGGUAUGAUGCUAUUCUAUAGGAAGUGAGAAGGUGAAGGGUCGAAAUAUUUUGUAAUUUGGAGGUGGUGUUUGUUAGUGUGUGUGUACUUCUGAAUUUAUUACCUCUGUAGGAUCCAUAGAAAUUGCCUCUUGUUCAGCAUGCACUGUGCCUACGAGUAAGGCGAGCUUGCAUGGUAUCUAUUGUCUAUUUACUUGGAUAUUCAAACAGGACUACCAGUAACACAAAUCCCCAAACAAAACACUCUUUCAAGUGCAAGGAAAGAGUAACUUGGCCAUAUUUAUGGUUCAAGCACUACAAUAACUAAGAAUGUGAUGACUGUCCACAAACACUAUAUCAGUGCCUUUUGAACUACAUCACAUGCUCGAAGACUUUUUUUUUUAGUCAUACAUAAAUUAGCUAUAAAAUUAAGACCAUUAUACAACUAAAAAGAAAGAAAAAUUGUUUGCUACUACAUAUCAAUGUAAGAUGGCAGACUUCUUACUUAAACAGAUGAGAGGCUACAAAUAAAAAAUUUGUGCAAAUAAAAUAUAUGAUAAAGAGCAUAAUACUUUCUUGGGGGCUAAAAAUAAUAUACAACUUGUGAAAUAUAAAUUGAGCUACCAUUACCUUUUAGAUGUGGCAACUUUCGACUUUUGAGGCACCUUGGAAUAUGCAUUCAGAAUCCUGCAUUUGGAAGCCAAAUAAAUAAUGUUAAUAACAAUUUUACAAUAGAAAAAUUAAAAAUUGAUAAAUGGCAGUUGUAAUUUAUGUAUGCGUAAAGAUAGCUUCACAUCCAGGGUCCUCCCAUAAACAUGCUUGUAACAAGAAUUAGUUUGCCUCAACUGUUAGCAACUGCUAACAAUAUACAAUAGUAAAAAUCACUCUUAUGAAGUCAACAAUACUAGGCACCAAUAAGAGUAUGAUACAGCCAUUCUAAAAUGGAAGAGAAUACAACUGUUUUACAACUUUGUUGCAUCAGGAGAUAUGUUAGGAGGAUUAAUCCAGAUACCUUCCAACCCAAUUAGGAAAACUCGAGUCAGAAACAAGGAGCUGCAACCGAACCUUACAAUCUUGAAGGAAGAAGGAGACUUGGGGCAUUUUUCCAGAUAGGUGACUUACUAGAUCUCCUGCCAAGAGAAUAUCUAUUGCUUUGAACCUCCAUUGAAUUUUCUUUUCCCUUUUUCUGGUUUUGACUUGGAACUUUCCAGCAUCAUCUAUUUGAUCUUUUUUAAAGCGAAAAAAGCAAUCUAUGGGUUGUCAACAUCUUAUCACCCCCCCCCCCCGGCCCCCAAAAAAAAAUCAAUGAGUUGUCAAUAAAUAGCGCCUACUCAAAUGUUUUCCAAUGUAUAACAAUGUGCAAAUCGACCUAGUAGCCACAUUUUUCCCCGGUUUCAACCACCGUAUGCAACUUUUCUAACCUUCCUUCAUUGCCCACGUCUACAGAACUAUCAUAUAAAGACUACAUUAUUAUUGGGAUAGAGAAAAAAAUACAGACUAUAUUAUUAUUAUAUCUCAUUUUAUUAAUUAACUAGUGCAAGACUUAUUUAGUGUCAAAUCAAGAACUAAUUAGAAAAGACAACUCAUGAUAAUACAGACCUUAAAAAGCAAUAGCUAGGACCACCCCAUAUACUCCUAUUUUAGCCUUCAAUAUCCUGGUAAAAACACAAUUAAGUCUUGCAAAAGAACAUUCACAAGUAAAUUCAACAUUAAUUAAGAUUAAGUAUCUACUGCACCUUCAAUCAAUGACUGGGUGAAUAGCAUGGUCAACCAUCCAGUUCCUGUAGCCCUCCUUGUACCUAUGUUAGUUACAUUUUACAUAUUAAGCCAGGAAAAUGAAGGAUCACAGCCUGGUAAAGAAAGCCAUUAAUUAAUAGUUUUUGUUUAACAAGUUCUCGUUUAGAUCUUUCCUAUUCAAUGAAUCAAUGUAAUCCAAGGAGAACUCUUCCAUUUCAAGCAGUGUUAGAAGAUAAUUGGAAAGCCUAAAGAUAAUAUACAAGGACCAAGAUAUCAAUUAGGUCAAAUAGUGAAUGUCAAAUAUAAAAAAUAAAUAAAAGAAGUUGUACAUGAUCAUUUACUAUCAAGUUCUGUAAAACUGAAAAUACCAUUAUCCCUAUAGAGAUUCUCAAACAACUCUUUAGCAAAUUAUAAAAUAGUUAAAAAAAGAACGAAAGUUUAAAAAAAAAAAAUGUACAACAGCCAUAUCAGGAGAUGUUUUUCUUCUCAAUCUCAAUAUUUUCUAGCCGUAAAACAAUUGAAAAGCUUAACACCAAGUGAAUUAUUAAGAAUUCAUCAUUUAAAUUCCCAAAUCGCGAAAUGUUGGUGCAACUAGGAAAGUGCAAAUGCAAUCACUUUACUAACACAAGAAACAUCAAUAGUGAGAAGCCAACUUUGUAUCAAAUUUGAAACAGAUAGAUAGAGGUCAAAAAAAUUAUAAAGACACUCAAUUAAAAGCCUUUCAAACAGCUUUUGCAUGCAACAAGAACAAAUCAAAGGCGAUGUGAAUGUAUUGAAAGACUAAUUUACAAUCAUCUACAGGACAUAAAUAUCUUGGAUAACUACUCUCUAUACCUUACUGUCCCACUGAAAAUCAUCAAAUCCCUCCAAACAAAAAUGACAAAAUGGAUAAGAAUUGUGUGGUCAAACUUCAAUAACUUAGCAGCCACAGCAAAAACUUAUGUAGACACGCAAGCCACUCAAAAUAGUCAUAUUGUUUGCUUUCCAAACACAAGCCACUUUGUAAUGAAUAUUCAUAAAUUGCUACUACCAUGUUUGUUAAAACACGUGAAAACCACCAUCACUAACUAAAUGUAACUAAUGAUCAUCAUCACGUUCAUGGAAUCACAUGUCUGACAGUAUUAAUUAGUGCAAAUGGCAUGCUUCUUAAAACUCCUUAUUUAUCACAUGGGUGGCAUUCCAAUCAACCAAUGAUUCUGAUCUAGUCAGCAUAUUCAACCCACGAGCCAGUAAUACCUCCAUUGCUUCUUUAGAUUUCUCAACAAAAUUCCACAUUCUAACCAUACUUCUGAACUUGUUGCUCCCAUAGACUAAUACAAUAUAAAGAUUUCUUCCCACACCACCUCAGCCCUCACUCCUAAAAAACCAAUUUAAAUUCUCAUUGACUGUACAACCUAUAGUCCAUACCAAAUUGAAAAAUUUACAAUAUAGAACCUCAAAGAAUCUUCUUGCGUUCCAUUUUUUACGGCAAGAAAAUUGACUUUUACCACAUGCAAGUCAACAAAUAAAACAAUCAUGUCUUUGUGAGAUGCACAUUUUCAGACGAAUCUGAAGAACAAUGAAACCAUAAAAACCUAAUAUGAGAACACCGAGGACUCCAGAUAUCAUCUAUAGAAUCUUUGGUCCACCCUUGCAUGAUGAAAAAAAAUUGAAGGCUUCGUCACCAACUCCCCAGGUUGUUUUGUUCUCCUAUCUCCUAAAUGUAAAUGAAAGACAACCCGUUCUUUUUCCAAUCUUCAGGGGCACAGAACGACUCUAGUAUUAAAUAGUCAGUUUCUAUACAAAAAUAACUCCUUUGCACUUGGCACUGCACAUCUCAAAAUAAAAAGCAUGCAAGGAGGAGAAUAUAAUAGCAGUAAACAAGUUUUAUUAACCAAACUUCAAAGAUGCCACACAAGGCAAAAAAGAAAUCUGUACAAGCCAGAUCCCAAGAAUAAUAAUUCCAAUAUACAAUUCAUGAAAACAAUAACAAAAACCAUGUUCAUGAGGCCUCAGCAGAAGCAACAUGUAAUAACCAUACUCUAUUAUUUGAAACACAUUUCCAAGUUUGGUUAAGAUUCUAAACUAUUCUCUAUCUGUCAAUUAUUAACAUGUAAAACAUAAUAAUAUACACUUAAACUACUACAGUAGUAAAACCAGUAAAACAACAAUACCUGCUAAAAAGAUUUGCUACCUCUUCACAUUCACGAGCAUUGUAGAACCAAAUCCCAUUUACUUCUUGCGAUGCAUUCCGAUAUAACAAAUACGGAACCUGAACUUCAAACUCUAAAUCUCCCAAAAGAUUUUCCACUAAAUUAUCUGCACAUAUACAAGAUAUUGAAGCUUAUCAGUGCAAAAACAUAUACAAAAAGACAUGAAGGUUAGGAGACAUAACUAAAACUUAGCAACAACUGAUAAGCACAACAAGACAUGAAAUAUAACACUAGUUGUAAACAAGAUAGACACACGGUAUCUAAAUAAUUGUACCAACCCCCUCUCCUGAUUGUCAUAAAAUGGCCAAUAUUUAACGCUAGACAACAACAUUGCAAAUACUCUAGCCUCUAUAUUAUUGGCAUAUAAAUAUUUUCGGUUAGGUACAUUAUAUUCUUCGUUCUAAAACCUCAAUUAUUAGCUAGUACUGUGAUAAAAUGAUUCAUCACUGAAAUUAAAACUAGUUCACGUACAAAUAAUCAAAACUGAAAUAGAAACAACGACAAACCAACCUGUAUUACGUCGAUUCAUCACAACAAACUGAAAUCGAGGCUGUGUGUUCCUGAAAAUUGAAAAAAUAAUAAUUUCAUCAACUUCAUAUGUAAUACAAUCUCCAAAACACCGAAUAUCAAAUAAAAAAAUGGAAAGCAUACGAGGGAAAAUAAUCUUAUUUUAUGACCUUUUGACGACGAAGAGAGAUCCUUCAACAUCCUUACGACUCCAUUGGCUGAGAUCGAUGUUGAACUCGUAGAAGGUGACAUGAGCGGCCGUGAUGAGGAUCUCCUCAAUGAAUGGAUCAAUUCGCUGAAGAACCGUCAGGUUUAGGAGUUUUGUGCUCUGCUGGUCCAGAUUAGGCAUCAAUUUUCCGUUCUGCGACAUAUUUCAUAGUCCUUUUGGGCUCUGCCCCCAGCACAAGCCCCAUGGUUUUUCUGUGAGCUCUCUCUUUUGUAAAUAAAGUGUUCGAUGAGAUAGCCGAGAGAGAGUGAAAGAGUUGAACAGCCAAACAAGGUGAGGUGAACAGUUUCGGACCGAGACUCGAGAUUGAUCUUGCUUUAACUUCUUUUUAAACAUUUGGGAAAUAGCAUUUAUUUCUUUCAAUUUCUCUACUUUUUUUUUCCUUUAUGUCAUUUAGACCCCAAAAUUAGAUUUAUUAUAAUCAUAUUUUACCCAUACACUAUUAACCCAUUUUAUUUUUUAAAUUGUCAAAUAUUAAUGUAUUAAAAUAAUGUUAGAAAUCCCAAUUAUUAUCUCAAUGUUUCAAUCAUAACUAAUGUGAUAACUCAUCGGUAACUGCAACAUUAACUUAAUUAUUAAUGUUUAUCAUGAAAUGAUGAGAUUAUUAUUCAAGAAAAACUUAGUAAACAUCAAUGACUAAUAUAAUAUGACAAUUACAGCUGAAUAUUAGUACAAGAAUUAGGAUCCCUAAAGUUAGUGAAUGUAUUAUAAUAUAUGUGUGUUACACCACUUUAUGUCUCUCAAAUUUAAUUAAGUAAUUUUAUAUUCAAUGAAUCAAUGUAAUCUAAAGAGAACUCUUCCAUUUCAAACUGUGUUAGAAGAUAUUUGCAAAGCCUAAAGAUAAUAUACAAGGACCAAGAUAUACACAGAUUGUUUCUUUAUGGAAUUAAAGAGCUUUAUAGAUGUUAAAACUGUUUCAAACAAUUUUUCUUGUUUGGUUUAACUAAGGAAGAGCUUGUGGAAGAUUAAAAAUGAUGUUUCCUAUUCUCUGUAGGAAGCUUUUAGGAGAUAUUUUGGGCUUUUUUGAAAGGUUGAAUUGUCAAAAAUACCUUCAUGUUAUUGUUUGCUAAAAGAUGUUAUGGACAACUAAACAACCAACGACAUUUUGUUAAAAACUCUACUAGUGUAGGAUCUACUUAAAGAAGUUAUACCAAACAGACUCUUAGACUGAAUAACCCGAUCUUAAGUUUGUAAAAUUGGGCUCAGAAUCUUCACUAACAACCCCGCUUCGGUGAGAAAGCCCAAGCCUGUUACUUUGUAUAACCUUAUUCUGUAUGUUUGAUUGUAGGAACUGGCCAAUCAUACCGACGAGGUGAGUGUGCAGCAUGAGGUGCUUGACGGGAUGUUUACUUUCAAUGAUACAACUAAAGCUAGCCUCAACAUAUAUCAGGUGCCUGCUUGUUUUUGCCUUCUAGAUACUAAUAUUGUUUAGACGUGUAAUCUCUCUCUCCAUUGAACGCUAGCCAAGAGAAAUGUCUGAAUUAUCGAAACAAGAUGAAUUAUUUUUUGUUUAUCGCAGCAGACGAUCUAUGAGCAGAAUUUCUUACAACAAAAGAUGUGUGUCCACCGGCUUGUAUUUAGUCUCGUAAUGCAUUUUAUAUAUAUGCACGCGCACACAGUUUGAGAAGAAUCAGACCAUUAAUUUUCGUUUGAGCCAAUCAACAGAAUGUACAUUUCUUCUAUGAACUUGUAACCGAAACCGCAGUUUUUCAGGUUUGAUGCAUCUGGGAAAAUUUUCAGAUGGAAUAAAACCACCAUGCGCCAAGGUACCAAUGAUGUUUCUUCCAGCUUACGAGCACUUCAAAUAAACUUAGGUCAUAUUUACACAAGGGCGCACAUGAUAUCAAUCUAAUGGCAAUUAUAUCAUCUAAAAUCCAAGACCAAGAGUCUCCCAUUUUCCCGUUCCCUACUCUGUUCAUAUUAUCAUAACUUGAAGUUGCAAGGCAGCCGCAAUCUCCCAGAUCUUUGCUCCUUCCUCAUAGCAGUUAAUCAAACGAUAAACAGAGAUAUCCCAUGUCAACAAGGAGGUAAUCAUAAAAGAACAACAGAAUUGUUGCAAUAUAUUCAUAUGAAAUGUAAAACAAUUUUGAGAAAAAAUAUUGGGAAGAUAUUUUUUUUUUCAUAGAAGUUGCAAUCUUUACGUUAUAUACUAGUUUGACUAGACUAUACAAGGAAGCUAUAUGAAAUUAGAAAAAUAAGCUAUACUAGGAAAGAAUAAAUAUAUGUACAGAAAAUUAGGCUAUAAUCUCUGACUUUCAACAAAUUUAAUAUCAAUUUUCUUCAGGAAGUUGUCUCGCAAGGGGCGCAUCAGUAUUGCAACGUCUGCUGGGUCUUACAUUAUCCACAAAAAUAACUCGUCCAUCUAGUAACUGCAAGUACAUACUGUGAGAUGCUUAAACUCAACAAUAUAAGCAUGGUAAAUUAGAGAAAAAUGAUGCAAUUUUACCUUCCCAUUCAUGUCUGCCAAGGCUUUUUGGGCUUCCUCUUAUGUACUGAAAGUCACAUAUCCGUAACCUUUUGAUCUAUUCUUACCUUAUCCAUUAUUAUUGUAGCUGCAAAAAGAAAAGAAUCGGAUAUUACAAAAUAGUGAAGAGGGAAGAGGGGUUGAGACUUAAAACAGAAAUAGACCAAACCCUCAGUGACGUGGCCAAAUUGUGAAAAAGCAUCAGCUAACAUGCCUUUAGUGGUUGAGAAAGAUGCGCCUGCAAAGGAUGCCAGUUAAUUUUAUCAUAAUUAGAUGGUAAGAUUGCAAAUUCUGCAGCCAAAGGUAGUACGGAACUGAAUGAAGGAAAUCAAAUAUGAAUAUGUUGUCAAUCUCAAAAUAUUAAGAGUAGCAUAAGUAACUUGUGAAACAGUUAUAAGUUCAAGGGAAUUAGAUGAUGGUAUGGUUGAAUUUAUAAAUAUUUGAUAUUUAACAAGUUAGUGUGUACUAUGCAAUUGCAAAAUUUAAGUUCCACAGAAUCGGUUCCUUUAACAUGAUGCAUCACAUAAUAUUUUGUUUGCAAAAUAAAGAAGAAAGAUGACAUAAUAGAAACACUCACAGAGAGAGAAUACCUUUGACGAAAAGCUUAGAAGUGAAUCCUCUGUAAAAUACGAGUUGAGCUGCUGAAUUUUCGAGUUUGAAUGAGAGACUGCGGCAAUUCUGAAAAUGUUUUUUUCUCAUUAGCGCCGCCAUUUUUGUAAUAGAGGGUAAAGAAAUAAGUAACAGAGUAAGAGGUGAGCAGAAACGGCCCAAUUUAGUUAUAUGCCAUGCAUGCGAUCAAAAUUGAAUGGUUAAAUGGCAGCCACUAUGUUACAUCUUGUGUAAGUAACAAACCGCCUACAUGGAUCGUUGGAUUUGGGAAUAUGAAAUCCAAUGGAUAAUAUUGAAUUUAACGAAAAAUAGAUUACAGGUUGCAUUAGUCCAAGAUUAUUUCAAACAAACCAGCUGAUGAAAUAGCCGCUAAUCAAAUUUAAAAGGGAAAAAAAAUCAUAGGUUAUAGAUCUUAUUUCCAUCUUAAAUCUAUGUCUUUCAUGGUAACUCAAUGUGUAUUCUAAUUUAUAAUUUGGAUCUAUAUUAGAGCUAAUGCUUCCCUAAAUAACUAAGAAAAUUUUCUUUUCAUUGAUUAAAUAUCUAUUUCCAAGAUCUUGUAUAUGUAGGAUUUGAAAAGAGGGAGAAUAGUAGGGUUGAUAAUGAGAGAAGAUAGAGAUGUCCAUUCUCAAAUCUAAUAUUAAUGCUAUACUUAUGUUCCUAUACUAAAUAAAUUAUCCAAGGUUCGUGGUUAAUGAUAAGUUGCGAAAUUUUAAUUUCUAUUUAAAGUUUUGUCUAAUAUGGCUUUUCAUAAAGCUUAGAGAAAAGUAGAGCUUUUACAAAAAAACAUUUAAUUAGAAUUGUGAAUGAUAAAUUUUAUUAAAAUUUUUUAAAAAGUACUUUAAUAAAUAAGCUUUUAAAGUUAUAUAUAUUAUGAAAGAAAUGAAAUAAGAUUAUAUAAUAAAUUAAGAGUAUCUUAGAUAAUUGAACUUAAAAAAAAAACUCGCUAAGAGGAUUAAAAUUUGAGUUUUAAUAGUGGAUACAAAAUAGUUUAUUUAAUUCUCAAAAGCUCUACUCAAAAUAGUUUAUUUAAUUCUCAAAAAAUAUUUUUUUCAAUGAGUAAAUAAUACUAAACAUGCACUAAAGUGUUAGGACCAGAAGUUGUCCAAAUAAAAUCAUGAAAUUAUAUGCUGUUGGAUGGAUAUUUUUCAAAUUUGCUGUAGUUUUUUUUUCUUUUCUGCUGGGAAAUUGAAAUGAUGGCUACAACUUAAAUUAUGAAUGGAGUAAUCGGAGAAUAUUGAAACCCAUUUAAUUUGGAUCGUGCAUUGAGGGACGAAAGGAUAAAAAAUUUAAUUUUGAAAUUGCUGUUGGGUACGGUACAAUGACUUACCGUUGACAGCUUGUGCAACCGGAUUACAAUCGGUUAGUUCAAUAAUUUUAUAUCCCUAUUCAACCGCCACGUGCUGCUGUUACAUGGGUCAAUUACUCAUGUCAUUACUGUUACUUACAGCUGCUGUAACAUAACCGGACCCAAAUGGUUAAAUUCUGUUGUUUCCAAUAAUUUUAUGCUGUAUCUUCUUUAAUAAUAAAGAAAACUUGCAUUAAAAUUAAAAUUAGGGUAAUGCCUGAUUUUAUAAAUAGAUUGCAAUGUAAUUUUGAAAAAUAAAUUAAUAAUUUACGAAAUGUUUAUAACAUAAUUUAAUUUUUUUCAAAAAGGAAAAACAACAAAAGUAAAAAAUAGAGAAUGAGGGCUACAAACUUUGCAUCUUAAACGGCCGUUAGAUUAUUUGUAAAUGAAAGCAACGGUCAGAUAUUGGUGGAUUAUGGAAACAUGUAAUCAUAAGGACUACGAGUUUUUUUUUGUUACAUUAAUAUAUUACAAUCAAAAUUCUGUUGGUAUUUAGAACCAGAAUUUCAUUUGACUAUCUUUGAUAAUUCUAAGCUGGUACAGCCUAAAUUCUUAUUCUCAUAUAAUAUCAAAGAGAGAUAUAUAUUCUUCUCCUCUAUUAAUAAAGAGACAUUUUUACUUCUAUCCAAUUUAAAUAGAACAAGAAUUAAGUCAUUUUAAUAGUUAGGACUCAAAACUCAUACACGUUAGUUUGAGAGUGUGGGGUGUGACAAUGGGCCAAGAGACCAUUGACAAAUACAAAAGAGUGGCAGAAAUUAAUUCAAACCGCUACACACGCUAUUGCAACCAAAUUGAGGGCACAUUUUUGUUUAUUUUGUUGAAAAGUAGUCUGUAAAAUUAACUCAAACCGCUACAUACGCUAAUGCAACCCAAUUGAGGGCCCAUUUUUGUUUAUUUCGUUGAAAAGUAGUUUGCGCAAUUAAUUCAAACCGCUACACACACUAUUGCAUCUUUUGAAAAAGAAAAAUGGAAUAAUUUUUCAAAAUUAAUUUAGAGAAUAAGAUUUACUAAUAAUGAUGUUAGAAAUCUUAAUAUUUGAAUCUUAAUAUUAUCUAUAGAAAUCUUAAUAUUUGAAUCUUAAUAUUAUCUAUCACUCAUUUAUUAAAUAAUAAAUUUCAUAGUUUGUAAAAUUACUUAACCACUUGAUAAAUGUUAUAUUUGUUGGGACUAGAUUGGGACUUAAAUAUUAGAAUAUCUAGUAUUACAUAAAAAAAAUUAACAAUUUAUCUUCACACGACUAAUUGUUUUUACAUCACAACUAACCUUAAUUAUUUUAAAAGUUAUAGUAUUAUUAAAUUGCCCUAACUAGUUAUCAAAAGGUGAAAGCAUGUUUUAAAAAGAAAUUACUAAGAAACAUUUGUUUAAACGAAGGUUAAGGUUAUGAUCAAUUAAUUAAGAAGAAACUUACUAUCAAAGGUUAAGAUUAUGAACAAUUUAAGGAAGUUAUUGAGCAGAGAAAGGGACAGAAUGGAUGUUUGAAUUGCCGGUGACAAGAAUGCUUGUGUUGUGAAAAGAAAUCCGAUGGUUUGUAAAUGGGUUGAAUUUUUCGCUCGCUUCAAUGACUUGCUUAUGCCCAAUAUAUUACUUUGCACAGUAGUAUUUGGGAUCCUAACAAUCAACUCUUAAUUUGGUCCCAAUAUAUUACUUUAUGAAUGAUUAGUUAAUAACUAUCAUGUUAAAGCUUCUGUCAAGCAAACACCCAUUGAAUUUUUCGCUCGCUUCAAUGACUUACUUAUGCCCAAUAUAUUACUUUGCACAGUAGUAUUUGGGAUCCUAACAAUCAACUCUUAAUUUGGUCCCAAUUAGUAUAGUAAUCAUCUAUUGAGCGGUAAAAUUUUCUUGCUUUCAAUUUCCACUGUUAUUUUUUUUAAAUAAAAUAAUUUAUUUAAACUAGUCAUAGAAAUAAGAGAGAAAAGGGGUCAUUUCUUGACUCAAAGUCAAUUGUAAUUAUCAAAACUUGAGGGGACAUCGCAUGCCUAAAUUCCACACACCCUAAAACGGUUUGAUUUGCUUUCAGGCGUUCAUGAAUUUCCAUGAAAGAGCCUGCCUUUCGUCUCUUUCGGGACAGUGACUACAAUAAUGGAAAAAAUUAUAAUUCUCGUUAGAUUGUAACCAAAUUAUUAUCCCUAAUUUUUUUAAGUUAAAUAUAAUUAAAUUCAUGCUUAAGUAUUUAGUAAUUAGAGAGAGAUAGAGAGGAUUGAGGGCCAAUGUUUCGCGAUUUGGGGUCAAUUUAAAGUCAACUAACGUGUAAAACACGUGUAUGCAUAGAAAACGCUUAGAUUAUUUGUGUUCCCAAGUGCAAGAAAUUAAGAAAAGAAAAUUUGAUUUCCUUUCAUGAACUUCCAAGAAAGAAAGAAGACCCUUCACCUUGUUCGUGACAACAAAUGAAUGAAUGAUGUUGAUAUGACAAAUACAAGCGCUAUUACAGGGAACAGCAUAAGAUCGAGACUUGAUAAAGGGUUUGUUAAAUUACAUGUUAUUUUCUUUUGACUUGAAUGAUGUUGAAGAAAAAAAUAAAAUAACAUUGUAAUCAGGGUGAUGUGUGGAAUAUAGUGAAAUAAAUAAAUAGAGAAGAGAAAUUCGUUGAUCAAUAUUCAAGAACUCAUCCAAAGUGAUCGUCAAAGUCUAGAGGUUCGGUAUGAUUAGCAUUUAUUUUUAUUUUUUUUUGGCUUAGCAUCAUAUAUAGUCACCUGUCGUGUGAUCUAGGACAUGUUUAGAAAUCCUUUUAUUUUAACUUCCGUAUUCUUAUUAUUUAAUUAGUUAUUGGGUUUUUAAGUAUUUGAGUAUUGAUCACAUGUCUCCUAAUCUAAAAAUAUGUUUUUAAGAGUACAAAUAACAAACUAGGAUUUUAACAGCCUUUUAUACUAAACCCUAAAAAUACAUGAAUUUAUCAAAAUAAGUAAAUUAAUUUAAAUUGGUAUGGCAUAUUAGAAGUUUUACCAGCCGAAACAAAUUAAAAAAAUAUUACACUUAAAUCAAAUAUUGACAAAAAUAGAUAACAAUCUAAUGAGAAUCUUAACUAGACAUUUUUACUUCUAUCCAAUUUAACUGGAUAAAUUGACAAAUAUUGACAAAAAUAGAUAACUCAUACACGCUAGUUUGAGAGUGUGGGGUGUGACAAUGGGUCAAAAGACCAUUGACAGGUAUAAAAGAGUGGUCGCAAUUAAUUCAAACCGCUACACACGCUAUUGCGUCUUUUAAAAAAGAAAAAUGGAAUAGUUUUCCAAAAUUAAUUCAGAGAAGAAGAUUUACUAAUAAUGAUGUUAGAAAUCUUAAUAUUUGAAUCUUAAUAUUAUGUAUCACUCAUUUAUUAAAUAAUAGAUUUCAUAGUUUGUAAAUUUACUUAACCACUUGAUAAAUGUUAUAUUUGUUGGGACUAAAUUGGGACUUAGAUGUUGGAAUAUCAAGUAUUGCAUAAAAAUAAAAAAUAAAAACUUAACAAUUUAUCUUCACAUGACUAAUUGUUUUUACAUCACAACUAACCUUAGUUAUUUUUUAAAGUUAUAGUAUUAUUAAAUUGCCCUAACUGGUUAUCAAAAGAUGAAAGCAUGUUAAAAUAAGAAAUUACUAAGAAACAUGUGCUUAAACAGAGGUUAAGGCUACGAACAAUUAAGAAGAAACAACUUACAAUCAAAGGUUAAGAUUAUGAACAAAUUAAGGAAGGUAUUGAGCAGAUAAAGGGACGAAAUCAUUGUCUGAAUUGCCGGUGACAAGAAUGCUUGUGUUGUGAAAAGAAACCUGAUGGUUUGUAAAUGGGUUGAAUUUUUUAUUCGGUCGCUCCAACUGACUUACUAAUGCCAAAUUUAUUACUUUGCACAGUAGUGUUUAGGAUCCUCAAGAUCAACUCUUAAUUUGGUCCCAAUUAGUGUAGAAAUCAUCUAUUGAGCAAUAGAAUAAGAAUUUUUCUAGUCAUGAAAUUCAAUAUAUAAUAUAUCCUUGACACACAUCGAUUAUAACUUAACUGUUAGAAUUCAUAACAUUACUCUACUCUCAAGGGGAGUUCUCUUAACAUAUUAUGUUAGGUUGCCUACAUUCAAAAUAUGUUAGGCUGCUCUUUGAAAACAAUAUUCCUUUUUCCGUAACUUUGAAUUGAUCCAAUAGCUCUUGAAAAGCACAUAAUAAUCAUUAUAAAUUUAAUCAAAGACUAAGCAAGUCUUCUUUGCAUUUGAUCACUGGCAUUUCAGUUAAGUUUGUCAUUUACUUAAAUUUUUCUUGCUUUCAAUUUCCACUGUUGUUUUUUUUAAUAAAAUAAUUUAUUUAAACUAGUAAUAGAAAUAAGAGAGAAAGGGGUUUUCUUGACUCAAAGUCAAUUAUAAUCAUCAAAACUUGAGCGGACAUUGCAUGCCUAAAUUCCACGCACCCUAAAACGGUUUGAUUUGCUUUCACGCGUUCAUGAUUUUCCAUGAAAGAUAGUGCCUGUCGUCUCUUUCCGGACAGUGACUACAGUCAUGGAAAAAUUAUGUUAAAGUGACGAAUACAAAACGUUAUUACAUGCAAGAAUAAGUUUUUGGAGCCGAGACUUGAGGGAGGUUCUAUCUAAUUCUAAAGAUUGUAACCAAAUCAUUAUCCCCAAUUUUUUUCAGUUAAAUAAAAUAAAAUUUAUGCUUAAGUAUAAAUAAUUUUUUUAAGUUAAAUAUAAAAUAAAAUUCAUGAACUUCCUAGAAAGAAAGAAGACCCUUCACCUUCUUCACGACAACAAAUGAUGUUGAUAUGACAAAUACAAGCGCUAUUACAGGGAACAGCAUGAGACCGAGACUUGAUAAAUAUUAAAUAUAUAAAAUAAGUGGAGCAAACAAACAGAAUAAUAGAUUUUUAUAAUAUUCUUCAUAAAAAUCCAAGUUUUGAGCUGGCCCAUAAGCUUAUCUAGUGAAGUCUGGGUAUCCGCAUUGCCCAAGGUUCCGCUUGAAUCCAGGCUGUGCUGAUAUUUAUGACAUCCCAUAUGGACGGAGAGGAAAUAUAUUCAGUUGACUGAAUUAAAUAAAAAUAUAUUACAAUCAUAUUAUAUAUUAGCAGCAAAAAUAAAAAGAAAUGAAGAAAAACGCUGUGUGGUUCAAAAAGAGUGUGGGUGAGUGAGUUAAUUUUCAUAUUAUUAGUAGUAAAAGGGUGGUGGAGUGAGGGAUGUUUGGAGCAAGAGAGGUCUGCUCUCCUCCAACUCAAACAUUUCUUCGAUGAUGAUCACCGUCUUCAAAACUGGGUAGACGAUGAGAAUUAUUCAGAUUGUUGUCAGUGGGAAGGGGUUGAGUGCAAUAACACCACUGGCAGAGUGAUUGAAUUAUAUCUAGGAGCCACUAGGAAUCGGGAAUCAGCAGAGUGGCAUAUGAAUGCUUCUCUGUUUACUCCCUUUCAACAAUUAGAGUCUCUUGAUUUAAGUUUGAACAAUAUAGCCGGUUGUGUUGAAAAUGAAGGUCCUUAAUUUACUUUAUUUUAAUUCUUCCUAUAAAUUUCUUACAUUUAUCUGAUCCCUUUUGGCUUUUGUUUAAUUUGUACGUGAUACAAUAAAAUUAUUUUUUAUUUUUUGGCAGGUCUAGAUAGGUUAUCAAGGUUGAACAACUUGAAGUUUCUUUUUUUAGACUUUAACUGCUUCAACAACAACAUCUUUUCAUCUCUAGGUGGUCUUUCAUCACUCAGGAUCUUAUCAUUGUUUCUUAAUAGAUUGAAUGGAAGUGUUGACAUUAAAGGUAAAGUAAGCUUCAUCCCUUCUCCCGUGUCCCAUCUUUUGUGGAUCUUAUUUCAUCGACCAGCUGGAAGUAUUGAUACGAGAUCUUGCUAGUGCAAGCUUCAAGGCUUUGAGUGCUACAAAAAUAGGUCUAAGAAAUUAUCAAUACAUAACGUUAUUACAUACAAUAAUAGUUCUAAAGAUUGUAACAAAAUCAUUAUCCCCAAUUUUUUUAAGUUAAAUAAAAUAAAAUUCAUGCUUAAGUAUAAAUAAUACUUUGGACAUUCUUGAUAUUUGUCCUUUUAAGAUAAACAGCAACCCAAUUAUCUAUUUGUUUGUCUGUUUUUUUUUUUUCAAUAACAGUUUGUUAGCAUAAAUAUUUACCUGUGAAGUCGAGGAGGAGAAAAUGUUAGAAAAAAUAAAAAGAAAAAAAAUUAAGGGGGAUAGAAUUAGAUUUUCUUUUUUGAGCAAAGAACAUACGUAAAAAGAUAUUAAAUCUAUUAAGUCUAAUUGUCUAUAACGGUAAAUUGCAUAACGAAUAAUUUAUUAGCGUAAAAUAAAUUUUAUUAGAUUCUGAUUAUUUGUUUGAUUUCUUUUCUCUCUGGACUCAACUUAUUUUGUUUAUUUGAUUUGAUUUUAUUUUUUUUUUAAAGAAACUUAUUGUUUAUCAAUACUGAAUGGCUUAAGAUUGAUGUCUUGAUAAUAGAUGGGGCAAUAUUGCAUUUUUAAUGCAGUAGACUUUGAAGUUAUCAUUGACAAGCUUAGAUGAAUUACUAGGACCAUAAUACAAAUGUCACAGGCAUCGAAGGCACUUACCAAGUUUUGAGUACAUUCCUGUUCCUAUCUAAUAGUUUUUAAUUUCUUUAAUUUAAGACCCCAUUCAUUAAUAUUUUCUUUAUUGUGAAGUUAAUUUUUUUAUCUGAAAUUAAAUUUUUUUUUUAAAUUGUUGACUUAUAGUUUACCUUUGUGUUAAAUGUUGGCAAAAUUAUUUUGUCCAAACCAUUUUUUUUGUCCUGAACGUCCAACUAAAAACUGAAUCAAGGGUUAAGUUGUAAGGUUUCAGUUCGUCCGUUAUAUUAAUUUAUUGUUUUAAUAUUAUGCAGUACAAAUAGGUGUAUAAGUCCAGAGGCGGAUGCAGCACAUGACCAGUGGGGGCUUGAGCCCCCACUGGCCAAAAAAAAAAAUUAAAAAUAAAAGAAUUUUUAAAAUUUUUUAAUUAGCCUCAUUAAAUUUAUUAAAAUAGUCACUAUAAAAUAUAAAUCCCAUAAAAUUUAAACUUUGAUUUUUAAAAAAUAUAAAAAUAUAUAUUUUAAUUAAAAAUAAUGAUAGCCCACUACUCAAAAAUUUUCUAUUCUAAAAAAUAUGGUUAAUUCUUCCAGUUUAUAUAAUAAUAGUAGAACGAACAGUUUCAGUAAUAAAACUCAUGAAGAAUCAUCUUUGGAAUCGGAUGGGAUACGUGAUAGUUUGAUUGUUUAUAUAGGAAAUAAUAAAUUUAAUAAUAUUGAUAAUGAGCCUAUUGCAUAACAUUUUAAAAAUAUAAAAAUGCGUAGAGACUAAUUAUAAAUAUUUUAUAUAUUCAAAAUUUUAAUUUUUUAUAUUUUACUAUUAUCUAAUUUAGCCCCCGGUAAAUUAUUUUUUUAGAUCCGCCACUGUAUAAGUCCAUCAUUUAAAUGCAAAAUGAAACCACAUCAAUAUAGAAAUUAAAAGAAAAUGAAUUCUCACAACCAUACGGUGAGAUUCAAACUCUCUAUCUCCGAGGAUUUCUUAAAGUUAUUCUUAAAUUACACUUAAAUGGUUAAAUUUAAUAAAUAAAGGUUUAAUUCUUUUCUCGCACAUUGUAGAAGCAAAUUUUCUCCUCUGUUGAAAAUUCUAAAUAUUUUUUUAAAUUAGGUUUCAACUAUGACAUGUCAGGACAGAUUUGAUACAUUUCUAAUGCAACCGAUAUAACAACACAACUUUGUGAUUUUUACUAUUCAGGAGAAGAAGAACACAACCUGUAUAACCCAACCGUUUAUAUACAAACAUCGAAUCGCUUUUUAAAAUUAAAUUGGGAAAAUUGGGGAUAUAAUCGUUUUUCAUAUAUAUACAUUUUUUCCUUACAAAUUAAAUUCAUGGUUGUUAGCUAAAUAUACCCGCUUAAAGCCACUCAGUCGAACCCUUUGAGAGCUGCUUUAAAUUUUUCGGAUUAGCCAUAUUCUUUUCACUGAGAUUUAACAUAAAAAAAAGGAGAAAAUAAGUUAUUUAAUUAACUCUAUUUUUAAGUGUUGGCAUAAAUACAGGACUCGAUUCCUUGAGUAACUUGGAGAUGCUGGACAUGAGCGACAAUGCAAUCGACAAUCUAGUGGUUCCUAAAGGUAUACAAAAUGUUCAAAUAUUUAUAAUUUGGAGGACAAUUUAAUUGAUUUGAUAAGGGAAUGCCCAAUGACACUUAUCCAAAAUAAUUUAAUCCGAAAUUGUAUCCCAAAUAGAUUACAGAGGCUUGAGGAAGUUGAAUACCCUUGGCUUAGGGGGAACGGAAACUGCAAUUAUAGAUGGAAGUAAGGUGUUGCAAUCAAUAGGAUCACUACCGUCCCUCAAAACACUUUACCUUUCGUGUACUAAUUUUACGGGAACAGUAGUUAAUCAAGGUAAGUAAAUCUUUUAUGUCGAAAAUAAUUGAAUUAAUAUAUAUAGCUAAAAUUUAUUGUUUUUACUUCUUUCUAAAUAGAAUUGCACAAUUUCACCAACUUGGAAGAAUUGAUAUUGUACAAGUCUGAUCUCCAUGUAAGCCAACUUCUGCAAGCAUCAUUCACUUCGUUAAAGAAUCUGUCAAUGCAUUAUUGUGUACUCAAGGGUGCCCUACAUGGUCAAGGUAAAUUACGGGUAUCCGAAGCUUUUAUGAUAUUAAUUUGAUAAUAAUUCUUUCUUUUCAAGUUAAUUUUUUCCCCUAAAAUAAGAUUUUUUUUCUUUUAAAUUUUAUAUAUUUUCAUUGUCCAAUAGUUCUAGCUUCUCUUAAUUGCAGGAUUCUUGAUUAAGGUUAAUGAAAUUUUAGUUCUAUUAUGUUAAGAAUAUUUCGAUCGCUUAGAAGAGUAAAGAAAAAUUAGUAAAUUAACCAAAACAAAAGGAUCAGAUUAUCCUUAUUCCCUUGCAUUAUGUGAUCAAUAUCAAAAUUAUAACCAUUUCUUGUUUAUUGCUUGUAGAUUUUCGUAAAUUCAAGAAUUUGGAACAUCUGCACAUGGGUGGGGCGCAGGUUGACGUCAACACCAGUUUUCUUCAAAUUGUCGGUGAAUCGAUGCCUUCACUUAAGUUUUUAUCACUGAUAAACUCUAGUAAAAAUAUUUGAACUAAUAAUAUCAGACAGCUGGCCUUUCUUUUCCUUGAGAUACUGAUUCGGAGUACUAAUAAUUUUUUACAAGUAAAGUUCCAUUAAAAUAGCAUAAGCCAUGACAAACACGUAUUGUUUAAUGGGCAUCCGUGAGACAAAGGAAUUGAUUAACCCAAAAGAUCAUAUGUACGGACACAACGUUUUAAUUAUUAACUUGUUUAAGUUUCUAAUCAACCUCUCUAAUCAAUCACAGCAAUUUUUCUUUUCCUCUAUCUCAAUCACUAAUUUCUUAAAGUGUAUACAAUUUUAGGAUGUUUGUAUUCUGAGAAGUUACACCAGCAGCAACCAAUUAUUUCGAAUGGAUCAGACUCAUCACGUAGAAAUAUUUAUUGUGGAUAUGAGGGAUAUUUUAAUAUAAUCUUAUUCCCACUCUCAUAUGACCGUGUAUAUUUAUAUGAAGAUUUAUUUCUUUGUUUUUUCAAUAAUAACGUGUAACAAUUGGAGUUUAAUUGAGUGGUUUUCAACUAAAUUUUAUUUAAUUGGCCACUCAAUUUUAAAUUUCAGGAGAGUUGAAAAUUUAAAAAUUAGAUUAAACUUUACUCAUUCUUUACCUUUCUAAAAGAAGAAAAAAGUACUGAUUUUUAAACAAUUGGCCGUUACAGUCUAUAAAGUUUUGAUUUGCUUUUUUAUAUAAUCGCUUUUAUUAAAAGAAGAAAAAAAUAUCGAUUUUUAAACAAUUGGCCAUUAUGAUAUAUAAACUUUUGAUUGCUUAUAUAUAAUCUCUUUUAUUAUUCCCCUAAAAUAUUGUCGAUAAUAAAAAAAAAAAAAAAAGCAGUCGGCCUAUGUAGCAAUGCAUAUGUGGUAGUAUAUGCAAAAUAAUAAUUUAUAUAAAAUUAACCCACAAAAAAAAUGAUUGAUGUGAAUAUAGAGUAUAAUUUCAUAUUCAUACACUUUUGAUUUUGUUAGGGCAUAUACUAUAUUGAUAUGAGCAUAGGACAUUGUUUACUAAAUAAAAUUAUUAAUAGUUUUAGUCUUCUAGAAUCCCCUGAUAGUGCUCUUAAUCAAAUUAUAAUAUAAGUCAUUGCUUUUUCUUUUUUAUUUUACCAUUUUAUUCUAUUCACCAGAUGCAUUUUUAGUAAUUAUUUUCUAUGUACAUGGUAGUGUUUGAUUUAUUAAUAUUAAAGAAGUUAUCAAUCACUUUUAAGUUUUUAAGUGUUUUUAUUAGGUGUCAAUUUGUAUUGGCAUGUCAAGUAGAUUUUUUAUUUAUGUUUUGUUAAAUUUAUAUAGACAAGAAUCUGGAUUGUUUUGACACUUUUUAAUUGCUUUUUUUUAAAUCACUUGUUAACAUAUUUUAAAAAUAUUUGUACUAUUAGUUACUCAAAUUCUAAUCGAUUUCGGUCUAAAUUAGGAAAUAAUUUUAAAAUAUAUAAAACAUAAUAUAGAUUUAUAGAAUAAUCUGAGAAUAAAGAAGUCGAAAAUUGUCAUUUAUACAAUUAAACUACUCUUUUAUUAUUCACCAUUUUUAUAAAUAUUAUCAAACUAAAAGAUCUCAUUUAAUAGUCAUAUGGUCUUGUCUGAGCGAGAUUCGAUUCCUAAAUAAUAAUAAUAAUAAUAACAAUAUUUUAAGCAAUGUCUUUUUAACAGCAGUUCAAUCAUCUAAAUACAUCACUAACGAAGAAUAUAAUACAUAUUAUAUACAUAUUUAGAUCACACAAAACACGUUAUCAUCUAAAUCUCACUUUUUCUCCAAUAUGUAAUAAAUUCAUGGAAAAUUUUUGAGUGUUCAUAGUGUAUGCUCCCACUCUAACGCAACUCUCUCUCUCUCUCUCUCUUCUUUUUCACCUGAAAGCUUGUCUAAUUUGGUUACAUUCAUGCAUGCUUACAUAAUUAGGCUCUAAUGGAUCAUAGUGUUGCAAAUUAUUAUUUUAAUGAUACGAUCGAUAUAAGCCGUGACUUUAUUUAAGAAAAAUGCUUGUUUGAGUGCUAAGGAAAGAUAGCAGUUAAUGGUGGGCUGAGAAUAUUAAUAAACAGAAAUCAGCAACAAGAAAAGAGAAAAGAAUCACGUCUGCUGACCCAAAAAAGGGAAAUAAAAUGAUAAAAUCACUGUGCGCAACAAUGAUUGACACAAGAACUUUACUCUUCCAAGCAUUGGUCCUUUUCAUGUCUUUGCCUGCCAAUUUUAGCAAAAUGUUUAAAAGGAAAGAAGUGUUUGUGAAGAGAUUCUCUCUUUAUUAUUCUCCUCUGUGACACUGACACACAACACAAGUGAGCAAAUUAAAACCGAGAAUGUUUCUUUUCGCAGUGCUUAAAGCAAAUUAAAAGCGUGGUGACAUCUGCUCCUCAGCCUCUGUGCUGAAAGAGUUUAAAAAAUAAAGCUGAUCAAAGUGUGUAUGUGUGAGUGUAGGUGGAGUGCAUGGGAUCAGCAUAUAUGUGAUUUUGUGUUCAUCUGCAGUAUAGAAUGUGAUUCUUUUUUCCUAUCACUUUCUUCUAUGCAAGGAUCGUAAAAUGCUGUUCGGUAUGAUCAGCUGCUGGUACUUUUGAGCUUGCAGCAGCUUCCAAUGAUUUUAUUUCCAUCAAAUGACAGCAUAAUUUGCAUCAGCAAAUCCGAGAUGACAUGCCAGUUUUUGGGCUGUUCCAUUUCUAGAUAUAACAUCCAAACUUGAAUAUGUAUCUCAUUUGAACAUGUGUGAUACUGGAAUGGACACACGAGGAGUUGGAAUUUAAAUGAGGUAUCAUAUGCUUUUCUUGAAAGAAAUAACCAAUUCAGUAACGGCCUAGACAACUCUAGCCACUUCAAAUUGUCGGUUAAUUAAUGAUUCUCUUUCUCCCUCUCUCUCGCAUCUUAACUAAAUUUAAUUGAGAAUAUCUACAAUGCUAGCUAUUUAUAAACUUAAUGAAAGAUGAUAAGGAGCCAUUAUAAUGACAAACACAACUGUAAAAUAGUGCGUUGUUGUAGUGUUGAUUGAAAAAUAAUGCUAAUGUUUUACCUAACAACACUAUAACGCCGUAUAAUUUUUAAUAUGUACUUUAAACUAUCAGUACUCAAACUUAAUUUUUAAUAUGUACUUUAAAGAUUUUAUGCAAUUAUUUAAGUUUUAUGCAAUUAUAUUUUUCAGGACUUUGUCGGUUAGUGCAUCUGCAAGAGUUAUACAUCAGCAGUAAUGAUUUGAGAGGUAGCUUGCCAUGGUGCUUGGUAAACAUGACAUCCCUCCAAGUGUUAGAUGCCUCUUCCAAUCAACUUAUUGGAAACAUCUCCCCAGGCCUUUGUGAGUUGGUGCUUCUGAGAGAGUUAUACAUUCAUAACAAUGAUUUAAGAGGUAGCUUGCCUUUGUGCUUGGCAAAUUUGACUUCCCUUCGAGUAUUAGAUGUCUCUUACAAUCAACUUACUGAAAACAUCUCCUCAUCUCCCAUCAUGCAUCUAAUAUCUAUUGAAAAGCUCAUACUUUCAAAUAAUCACUUCUUCCAAAUCCCUAUUUCACUUGAACCACUUUUCAAUCUCUCAAAACUCAAGACUUUCGAUGGUGAAAUAUGCGCAGAAACUGAGUCACAUUAUAAUUCUUUGACCCCAAAAUUCCAACUGACUUCUAUCUCACUGUCUGGUUACAUAGAUGGUGGCACAUUUCCCAAAUUCUUGUUCCAUCAACAUGACUUGAAGAAUGCUGAUCUCUCACACCUUAACUUGAGUGGACAAUUUCCAAAUUGGUUGCUAGAAAACAAUACAAACUUGGAGACGCUUCUUCUUGCCAAUAACUCUCUUUUUGGAUCAUUUCGAAUGCCAAUUCAUUCCCACCAGAAUUUAGCAAUAUUGGAUGUCUCCAACAAUUUCUUUCAAGGCCAUAUCCCGGUAGAAAUCGGAACAUAUCUGCCAGUCUUAAUGGGUUUAAACUUAUCUAGAAAUGCUUUCAACGGUAGCAUUCCCUCUUCAUUUGCUGAUAUGAAAAUGUUGGGAAGGUUGGACAUAUCGCACAAUCAGUUGACUGGUGAAAUCCCAGAGCGCAUGGCCACGGGUUGCUUCUCAUUAGAAAUUCUUGCAUUGUCAAACAACAGUUUGCAAGGUCAUAUAUUCUCUAAAAAAUUUAGCUUGACAAAUUUGAUGACGUUGCAGUUGGAUGGUAAUAAAUUCGCUGGAGAGAUCCCAGAAAGCUUAUCUAAGUGCUAUUUGUUAGAAGGAUUAUAUCUGAGUGAUAAUCAUCUCACUGGUGAGAUUCCAAGAUGGUUGGGUAAUUUGUCAGCUUUGGAAGAUAUUAUAAUGCCCAAUAACAAUCUUGGAGGGCCAAUUCCAAUCGAGUUUUGUCAGCUUGAUUCUCUGAAGAUUUUAGACCUUUCAAACAAUAGUAUUUUCGGAACCUUACCAUCUUGUCUUAGUCCAGGAUCUAUUGAACAACUUCAUUUGUCAAAAAACAAGAUAGAAGGACGAUUGGAAAGUAUAAUCCAUGACAGCCCUUAUUUGGUGACAUUAGAUCUUAGUUAUAACAGCUUACACGGAAGUAUUCCAAAUCGGAUUGACAGACUACCUAAGUUAAACUACCUUCUUUUGGCUAAUAAUUAUAUUGAAGGCGAAAUACCAGUUCAAUUAUGCCAUUUGAAGGAAGUGCGGUUGAUUGAUCUUUCUCAUAAUAAUCUAUCUGGUCAUAUUCCUCCUUGCUUGGUUAACACUUCACUCAGUGAAGGUCAUCAUGAGGCAGUAGCUCCAACUCCAAGUGGAUCUCCGAUGGGAAAGGAAGAAACUGUUCAGUUCACAACAAAGAAUAUGUCCUACUAUUAUCAAGGAAGAAUUUUGACGAGUAUGUCUGGGAUUGAUCUUUCUUGUAACAAACUGACAGGUGAGAUUCCUACUCAAAUUGGAUAUCUUACUAGGAUUCAUGCACUAAAUCUAUCUCAUAACAAUUUGACGGGCACAAUCCCGACAACAUUUUCAAACCUGAAGCAAAUCGAAAGCUUGGACCUCUCCUACAACCUACUGCAUGGGAAAAUCCCUUCUCAGCUCACUGUGCUAAAUACAUUGGCGGUCUUCACGGUAGCAUACAAUAACUUAUCAGGAAAAAUUCCAGAUAGAGUUGCACAAUUUUCAACUUUUGAGGAAGAUAGCUAUGCGGGGAAUCCUUUUCUUUGUGGAUGGCCACUGUCUAAAAGUUGCAAUGAUAGUGGAUUAUCAGCAGUGACACGAGAAGCUUACACUGAUAAUGAAGAAGGUGAUAGUUUAAUUGACAUGGACAGUUUCCUAAUCACUUUUACAGUAUCUUAUGGAAUUGUGAUAUUAGGAAUUAUUGGAGUUUUAUACAUAAACCCCUAUUGGCGACGAAGAUGGUUUUACCUUGUUGAAGUAUGUAUGAUCUCUUGCUACUAUUUUGUAGUAGAUAAUCUUAUUCCUAGAAGAUUCUAUGGUGGAUGGAUGUAAUUUCAUUUACUUUACAACUUAUAUGUAAUUUUUAAAGAAUUUUCUUUUGCAUGCAUGGAAUAGCAACUCAAUAAAAGUAUUUGAUGCAAAUUGUCCAAGAACAACUUAGUAAUUUCAUUGCUACUAUUCGGUUGUAUAUAUACAGUUAAUGAAAUUUUUAAUCAUUCGCAGUAGGAAUUUCUUUAAAUGGCGGCCAAAACUAACAGAUUUGGGGCUCUACCUCUACACAUCAUAACAGGCAAAAGGUCUCUCUUUUACACUAUCUGAAUGAAGAUUAGCUUACGCCCCCUGGAGUUCUCUAUUAAACUUGACGGUUGAGAUUUCAGGUCCAGAUGAAAGUGAAAUGCAGGCGACGAGACUACACUUUAAGUAAACUGGGACAAACUUAAAAUAAAAAAAAUUGUAGUCCAGGGUGAGAGUGAUGGGUAGCUCAACUUAUGGAGGAUAAUUAGGACUUGGAAUAACUAUCAGAUUUGCAACUCUUGUUAUAUGCUAGUGGGGAUUUAGGUAGCAAUUUUUUUUUUUUUCCUUUUUGCCCUCUUCCUCACAAUAAACACACCUAACACACCAAGCCGUGCCCAAAAUAAUCCUAUUUUAUUCAUGUCAUGAAUCCAAAAACUAUCCCAGCUCACUUUGUUUAACCAGCAUAACUAAAUUGUGGGUAUAAAUGAACACACUUUCGAAGCCUGUAACUUAUAAUAAGCUCAAACCCAAAAAUGACAUUUAAAUCCUGCAAGUGUUUUUCAUCAUCCCUAACAAAAAGAAACAAGAAUAAUUAUAUACCAAUAGUUUUUCCAUAAAAAAUACUGAUACCAAUAGUUUUUCCAUAAAAAAUACUGAUUUGAGUUGAAACACUCUACAAACUGGAUUUUAUACACUUGCAGAAAGCUACGCGAUAGACAAAAUCUAGCAGCUACAUAAUGGUAUCACUUUCAGCUGGUCAUGAAUGGUGUGCAUUCAGCAGUGCUCGAUAGACCAUGUCUAUGAAUUGAUUGUCCUAUUACAUAUAAAAGCUGGUCAGAUAUACAAGGAAAAAAAUAAUAAUUGAAAAUGCAUCACAAAAAAUAAGUGUCUCGCAUUAGUGUUUGCACUCUAAGCAUGGCAAAGUGGUGCGGGUUCAUGAUUUUGAAGACUGGGAUAAGUGAAAAAUAGUUCAAUCCACUGAUGAACAUAAAUUUAUUUACAUGUCAAUUUAGAUAUCAUAAAAAAGUAAACUGUAAUUCACAGUCACUUAAAAGAGUUGAUAAAAUGCAUGCCAUGAAUGCAUUUUUGUACAUAAGAAAUCCAAAGAGUAUUUCUGACAAUACAAAUAUGCUAGCUUUAAAUCUGCUGUCAAUAUGCAAUUAAGAAGAUUAUAUCAGCUGCAUGAUAAAGUUCCCCUAAUCUUAAUAACAGUAAACAUGAACAUGUCAGAUGCAAUUAUAGCUUCGAGCAUUUGCAUAACCAGAAAUCCUAACCUGAACAAGCACCAGAAGUGUCUCUCGGACUUUCUCCUUGUUGAUAAAUGGUCCGCUGUUUGAAGUAAGAGCAGGAGUAAGAGAUGGUGGAGGGGUUGGUAGUGGAAAAGGUUGAAGCAUUGGGGCACCAUAUGGGCGUUGCAGACUCAGGGGAGGAUUAAGUGGCGGAGCUGUUGGUGUAGAUGAAGAGACAAGCUGCAUCAUCUGUGCAUAGGAGGAUGGAGGAGGAACAAAGAAUAAGGAAGGCUUUACAAGAUUAGGGGUAGGUGCUGACAGAGGUGGAGAUGGUAUUUGCAAGGUUGGCACGAUAAGAGAAGCAACACUGGCGGGAUGAGAAGGUAAAGAAAUAGUUGUAUUGGACUGGUAAGGUUGUGCAGAGAUUGCUGCAUUAGAAGUAUUCCCCACAGUCAAAGCUGUCUGCAAUGAUAAGGACAGAUGUCAUAUACAAGGACAUGAUAGAAGAUGAACCUCACACAAAAAUGAAGUGAUAACAUAUGAAAAUAGUAUGACUUGCUGCAGUUUUGUGGUAAUGUUGCAUACUUAUGCAGAAACAUAUUAUUUCAAAGAAAACAUACACUGAAGUAGUUCACAAAAGCAGGAUCUUCAGGAACAUCAGCAGCAUUUGAGGGAGUUGACUCUAGAGGGACCAUCCAUAACUGCCAUAGUUGGAACAGCUUCCAGUUCCUCAAACUCACUGCAGUUUAACAUAAAAGGAACUUGAUGACCAAUUUAAGUAAUAAUUAGAUGAUAUAAGAGGUUAGGGAAAAUGAUGAGUGGACCCUUAUGGAAGGUGAUUUCACCUUAACUAAACACGAAAAUAAAAAGAAAUCAAAGCUGAAUCCUCGAGUGCAAUGCAAAGAAUUUUUUCUCGCUCUUCUCUAACUCCUCUUAUUCGAAAUUGCUCAUCAUUGUGCUGUUCUUAGAGUUUUCACUAGAGUAGAGAAAGCUAUUCUCCCGUUAAGUACAGAGGAAAGAGAAGGGCAAGGGCCUGGUAUGAUGCUAUUCUAUAGGAAGUGAGAAGGUGAAGGGUUAAAAUAUUUUGUAAUUUGGAGGUGGUGUUUGUUAGUGUGUGUGUACUUCUGAAUUUAUUACCUCUUUAGGAUCCAUAGAAAUUGCCUCUUGUUCAGCAUACACUGUGCCUACGAGUAAGACGAGCUUGCAUGGUAUCUAUUGUCUAUUUACUUGGAUAUUCAAACAUGACUACCAGCAACCAAACACAAAUCCCCAAACAAAACACUCUUUCAAGUGCAAGGAAAGAGUAACUUGGGCAUAUUUAUAGUUCAAGCACUACAAUAACUAAGAAUGUGAUGACUGUCCACAAACACUAUAUUAGUGCCUUUUGAACUACAUUACAUGCUCGAAGACUUUUUUUUUAGUCAUACAUAAAUUAGCUAUAAAAUUAAGACCGUUAUACAACUAAAAAGAAAGAAAAAUUGUUUGCUACUACAUAUCAAAACUGGUAAUAGCAAUGUAAGAUGGCAGACUUCUUACUUAAACAGAUGAGAGGCUACAAAUAAAAAAUUUGUGCAAAUAAAAUAUAUGAUAAAGAGCAUAAUACUUUCUUGGGGGCUAAAAAUAAUAUACAACUUGUGAAAUAUAAAUUGAGCUACCAUUACCUUUUAGAUGUGGCAACUUUCGACUUUUGAGGCACCUUGGAAUAUGCAUUCAGAAUCCUGCAUUUGGAAGCCAAAUAAAUAAUGUUAAUAACAAUUUUACAAUAGAAAAAUUAAAAAUUGAUAAAUGGCAGUUGUAAUUUAUGUAUGCGUAAAGAUAGCUUCACAUCCAGGGUCCUCCCAUAAACAUGCUUGUAACAAGAAUUAGUUUGUCCAACUGUUAGCAACUGCUAACAAUGUACAAUAGUAAAAAUCACUCUCAUGAACUCAACAAUACUAGGCACCAAUAAGAGUAUGAUACAGCCAUUCUAAAAUGGAAGAGAAUACAACUGUUUUACAACUAUGUUGCAUCAGGAAUUAUGUUAGGAGGAUUAAUCCAGAUACCUUCCAACCCAAUUAGGAAAACUCGAGUCAGAAACCAGGAGCCACAACCGAACCUUACAAUCUUGAAGGAAGAAGGAGACUUGGGGCAUUUUUCCAGAUAGGUGACUUACUAGAUCUCCUGCCAAGAGAAUAUCUAUUGCUUUGAACCUCCAUUGAAAUUUCUUUUCCCUUUUUCUUGUUUUGGCUUGGAACUUUCCAGCAUCAUCUAUUUGAUCUUUUUUAAAGCUAAAAAAGCAAUCUAUGGGUUGUGAACAUCUUAUCACCACCCCCCCCCCCCGGGCCCCCCAAAAAAAAAUCAAUGAGUUGUCAAUAAAUAGCGCCUACUCAAAUGUUUUCCAAUGGAUGACAAUGUGCAAAUCGACCUAGCAGCCACAUUUUUCCCCCCUUUCAACCACCAUUAGGCAACUUUUUUAACCUUUCUUCAUUGCCCACGUCUACAGAACUAUCAUAUAAAGACUACAUUAUUAUUGGGAUAGAGAAAAAUAUACAGACUGUAUUAUUAUAUCUCAUUUUAUUAAUUAACUAGUGCAAGACUUAUUUAGUGUCAAAUCAAGAACUAAUUGGAAAAGACAACUCAUGAUAAUACAGACCUUAAAAAGCAAUAGCUAGCAACACCCCAUAUACUCCUAUUUUAGCCUUUAAUAUCCUGGUAAAAACACAAUUAAGUCUUGCAAAAGAACAUUCACAAGUAAAUUCAACAUUAAUUAAGAUUAAGUAUCUACUGCACCUUCAAUCAAUGACUGGGUGAAUAGCAUGGUCAACCAUCUAGUUCCUGUAGCCCUCCUUGUACCUAUGUUGGUUACAUUUUACAUAUUAAGCCACGAAAAUGAAGGAUCACAGCCUGGUAAAGAAAGCCAUUAAUUAAUAGUGUUUGUUUAAAAAGUUCUCGUUUAGAUCUUUCCUAUUCAAUGAAUCAAUGUCAUCCAUGGAGAACUCUUCCAUUUCAAGCAGUGUUAGAAGAUAAUUGGAAAGCCUAAAGAUAGUAUACAAGGACCAAGAUAUCGAUUAGGUCAAAUAGUGAAUGUCAAAUAUAAAAAAUAAAUAAAAGAAGUUGUACAUGAUCAUUUACUAUCAAGUUCUGUAAAAUUGAAAAUACCAUUAUCUCUGUAGAGAUUCUCAAACAACUCUUUAGCAAAUUAUAAAAUAGUUAAAAAAAGAACAAAAGUUUUUUUUUAAAAAAAGAACAUCCAUAUCAGGAGAUGUUUUUCUUCUCAAUCUCAAUAUUUUCUAGCCGUGAAGCAAUUGAAAAGCUUAACACCAAGUGAAUUAUUAAGAAUUCAUCAUUUAAAUUCCCAAAUCGCAAAAUGUUGGUGCAACUAGGAAAGUGCAAAUGCAAUCACUUAACUAACACAAGAAACACCAAUAGUGAGAGCCCACUUUGUAUCAAAUUUGAAACAGAUAGAGGUCAAAAAAAUUAUACACUCAAUUAAAAGCCUUUCAAACAGCUUUUGCAUGGAACAAGAACAAAUCAAAGGCGAUGUGAAUGUAUUCAAAGACUAAUUUACAAUGAUCUACAGGACAUAAAUAUCUUGGAUACCUACUCUCUAUACCUUACUGUCCCACUAGAAAUCAUCAAAUCCCUCCAAACAAAAAUGACAAAAUGGAUAAGAAUUGUGUCGUUAAACUUCAAUAACUUAGCAGCCACAGCAAAAACUUAUGUAGGCACGCAAGCCAUUCAAAAUAGUCAUAUUGUUUGCUUUCCAAACAAAAGCCACUUUGUAAUGAAUAUUCAUAAAUUGCUACUAUCAUGUUUGUUAAAACACGUGAAAACCACCAUAACUAACUAAAUGUAACUGAUGAUCAUCAUCAAGUUCAUGGAAUCACAUAUCUGACAGUAUUAAUUAGUGCAAAUGGCAUGCUUCUUAAAACUCCGUAUUUAUCACAUGGGCGCCAUUCCAAUCAACCAAUGAUUCUGAUCUAGUCGGCAUAUUCAACCCACGAGCGAGUAAUACCUCCUAUUGCUUCUUUACAUUUCUCAACGAAAUUCCACAUUCUAACCAUACUUCUGAACUUGUUGCUCCCAUAGACUAAUACAAUAUAAAGAUUUCUUCCCACACCACCUCAGCCCACACUCCUGAAAAACCAAUUUAAAUUCUCAUUGGCUGUACAACCUAUAGUCCAUACCAAAUUGAAAAAUUUACAAAUAUAGAACCUCAAAGAAUCUUCUUGCAUUCCAUUUUUUACGGCAAGAAAUUUGACUUUUACCACAUGCAAGUCAACAAAUAAAAAAAUCAUGUCUUUGUGAGAUGCACAUUUUCAGACGAAUCUAAAGAGCAAUGAAACCGUAAAAACCGAAUAUGAGAACACCGAGGACUCCAGAUAUCACCUAUAGAAUCUUUGGUCCACACUUGCACGAUGAAAAUGAUGAAAAACAAUUGAAGGCUUCAUCACCAGCUCCCCAGGUUGUUUUGUUCUCCUAUCUCCUAAAUAUAAAGGAAACGCAACCCGUUCUUUUUUCCAAUCUUAAGGGGCACAAAACGACUCUGGUAUAAAAUAGUCAGUUUCUAUACAAAAAUAACUCCUUUGCACUUGGCAUUGCACAUCUCGAAAUAAAAAGCAUGCUAGAAAGAGAAUAUAAUAGCAUUAAACAAGUUUUAUUAACCAAACUUCAAAGAUGCCACACAAGGCAAAAAUGGAAUCUGUACAAGCCAGAUUCCAAGAAUAAUAAUUCCAAUAUACAAUUCAGGAAAACAAUAACUAAAACUAGGUUCACGAGGCCUCGGCAGAAGCAACAUGUAAUAACCAUACUCUAUUAUUUGAAACACAUUUCUAAGUUUGGUUAAGAUUCUAAACUAUUCUCUGUGUCAAUUAUUAACAUGUAAAACAUAAUAAUAUACACUUAAACUACUACACAAACUACUACACUAGUAAAACCAGUAAAACAACAAUACCUGCUGAAAAGAUUUGCUACCUCUUCACAUUCACGAGCAUUGUAGAACCAAAUCCCAUUUACUUCUUGGGAUGCAUUUCGAUAUAACAAAUACGGAACCUGAACUUCAAACUCAAAAUCUCCCAAAAGAUUUUCCACUAAAUUAUCUGCACAUAUACAAGAUAUUGAAGCUUAUGAGUGCAAAAACAUAUACAAAAAGACAUGAAGGUUAGAAGACAUAACUAAAACUUAGCAACAACUGAUAAGCACAACAAGACAUGAAAUAUAACACUAGUUGUAAACAAGAUAGACACAUGGUAUCUAAAAAAUUGUACCAACCCCCUCUCCUGAUUGUCAUAAAACGGCCAAUAUUUAACCCUAGACAACAAAAUUGCAAAUACUCUAGCCUCUAUAUUAUUGGCAUAUAAAUAUUUUAGGUUAGGUACGUUAUAUUCUUCGUUCUAAAACCUCAAUUAUUAGCUAGUACUGUGAUAAAAUGAUUCAUCACUGAAAUUAAAACUAGUUCACGUACAAAUAAUCAAAACUGAAAUAGAAACAACGACAAACCAACCUGUAUUACGUCGAUUCAUUACAACAAACUGAAAUCGAGGCUGUGUGUUCCUGAAAAUUGAAAAAAUAAUAAUUUCACCAACUUCAUAUGUGAUACAAUCUCCAAAACACCGAAUAUCAAAUGAAAAAAUGGAAAGCAUAAGAGAGAAAAGAAUCUAAUUUUAUUGACCUUUUGACGACGAAGAGAGAUCCUUCAACAUCCCUACGACUCCAUUGGCUGAGGUCGAUGUUGAACUCGUAGAAGGUGACAUGAGCGGCCGUGAUGAGGAUCUCCUCAAUGAAUGGAUCGAAUCGCUGAAGAACUGUCAGGUUUAGGAGUUUUGUGCUCUGCUGGUCCAGAUUAGGCAUCAAUUUUCCGUUCUGCGACAUUUUUUAUAGUCGUUUUGGGCUCUGCCCCGAUCACUAGCCCUCAUGUUUUUCUGUGAGCUCUCUCUCUUUUGUAAAUAAAGUGUUUGAUGAGAGCGCCGAGAGAGAGUGAAAGAGUUGAACAGCCAAACAAGGUGAGGUGAACAGUUUCGGACUGAGACUCGAGAUUGGUCAAGCUUUAACUUCUUUC
rnacentral:lncRNA from 1 species